GGAAGGUGGUGUGUUUCUCUCCUUUCCCUCUUGAAGUGCUGUCUUUGGGUUGCUUUUGCAUACUCCUUGUAUACUUUGAGGGUACUGUUUUUGGUUCUUCCUCUUUUCGUUUAAUAUACAUCCUUUUAUCUAUAUAAAAAAAACAAAUAACCUAAUACUUAACACUAUUAAGUAUUAAAGUUCUAUUUAAAAUUAAGUGAAAAAACAAACACCACCUAAGAUUGUAGCUGAAUGCUUAUUCUUUAUUGUUGAUCCUUGUUUUUUACCAUGCCAUGUGUGUGCCCCUUGUUUAUUAUCAUCGUAAAAUUUAUAAUGACAUGUGCUCUUACCAAUUAUGGGUGUCUUCUCUGGUUUUACAUCACAUUAGUUACUGACUGUCCAAGAGUUGAUCCAUAAUCAGUUGUAAGACUUGCUUAGACCGGCUAUUUCCAAAUGUUUUACACAAUUUUACGACAGUCUUAUAACCAAAUGAAAUAUUUGGUUGGAGAACAUUGCCUCCAAGUAUAGAAGUACCAAAGAUGCUUAGGAAAUAAGCUUCCUCAGAUCUUUUCCUCCCUGUUUUAUUAUGUAAAGGCUUGGAUUCUUCCCAUGCCAGUUUUUUUGGUUUUCUUAGUAAGGUCUUGGAUACCAGAACUUUUAAUCCAAGUUGAUUUUAUACAGACUCCCUAGCAUUUAUAAUAGUGAUCAGGGACAUGGACACUAUAGACUUAAGUAAUUUCUAAAACCAGAAUGUUUUAACAAGAAAGAGGUUUCUGGGCCUGGAAGUAGUGGUCAUUAGAGCAUGUAAAGACUAAUUCAUUCAAAACUUAAAAGAAGGCUGAGUUUUCAUAGAAAGUUAUUUCAAGGAGUGGGGCUGUAUUUUCAUCAAAAAGUUGCUUCAGGGAUCGAUACGACCAGUUGUUGCAGAUUCAUACAAUCUUGAAUUUUAAAAAUUGAAUAAACAUUAGAAAUUAUUAUUUAUUUUAACAAAACAUUGUCAAUAUCUUCUAACAUAAUUAUUUCAAAAAUAUAAAUAUAAUGUAGUUUAAUUCUUAAAUAUUGAAAUAAAAUAUGUUUUGGAUGAAAUCAAAUAAAAUAAAUAUUCUUUUAGGCUUAUUAAUAUCAUUGACAUAAAUAUCAAUUUGUUUAAUAAAACAGCCCCUACAUACAUAUUACUUUUUUUUCUAUCAUUUUUUUUAAAGUUCUGAUUAAUUAUGUCUCACCAAUAUUUUAUGUCAAAAUAACGAGUUAUUCGUGUAUCCAUAAAAACUUAUUUUUUUAAUUAAUAAAUAUAGUUCGAAAAGGAGUUAACACUUUUGAAAUUCAAUAAUAAUAAUAAUAAUAAUAAUAAUUUUAGUUCUUUUCAUAUAUUAAUUUGUCUUUUAUGAUUUUUUUAAUAAAUAAUUUUUUUUUUUUGGCUUUUCUUCAUUUUUUGUUUAUUUUUUCAUAAGGUCUAUAACUUUAAACUAAACAAGCUUGAAUAUAUAUGUUUGUAAUAAUCUUAUAUUAUAUUAGUAGUUAAACACAAUUGUAUGUCAUUUUUUUAUGUUUAAUAAUAAAUUUUCAAUAUUAAAGCUAGAAUCUAUAAGAAAAUCAACAAAAACAAUAUAUCAAUUUAGAAAUUAUGAAAUCUAAAAUUUAUAUAAAAAGGUUAAAAAAAAAUUAUUUAUAAAUAUUAAAAAAAAUGAGAGUUAAAAUAAGAUAGUGGUUCUAUGAAAAUUUUAAAAAUAACUAAGAUAUGAAAAAAAAAAAAAAACAAGUUAAGUGUAAAUUGGUGAUAAGUUUUAAUAAAUAGAGAUCAAAUUUAGAAAAAUUUAGUUUCUAUUUUUUUUAUUUAGAUUUUAUUUUUAAUUUAAUUUUAUUUCAUGUAACUUUGGUUGAUUGGGUCUUGCUUAAAUUCUAAUACCAUAAUAUUUGAAAAUUUUUGUGAUAAUUGAAUCAACUUUCAAUCGAGGUCCAUAAAAGGAAAAUAGAAGAAAAAAAGAAAAAAAAAUCUCUUUCAUUUUAUUUUUUAAUUUUAAAAUAUAAAGCUAAAUUGUAUCUAAAAUCAGGAAAAAUCCCUCCAUACUUGCAAGAGAGGUACACCCUAAUUUACAUUUCGAUGCUUACAUGGGAGGAGGCUCUCUGUGUAUGCCAUUGGAAGAGAAAACAUGUCUUCACGACCAUGUUCCCAGUUGCAUCCUCUCCAAGUUCUGGUCUCCAUGUUAUAAAUAACAGAACGUACCCAAUUUGCAAAAAGAAUUUCAUUCUUUUGCACAGUUACAUAGCAAAGGUGUUCAAUCUUAAAAUGUCGGGGGAUAUUAUCACUCCAUUUCUUCACCCAAACUGACUCCUUACUAUCCUGUAAAGCCCAUAUAUCAAGUCGGCCAAGUCCACGUCGAGCCACCAGACACAAACAACCUUCAAUAUUCACCAAGAAAGGGCGCAUAGUUUCUUCCUUUGGAAUCCUAAUUAUGCUAAAAUUUUCCUCCCUAUCAACUGCAAGGAUGUGGCCGACCACCCGCCCGUCUAUUAUUGAUAGGCUAAACCAGAACACCGUUUCAUUAAUACAUACAUGAUUGGAAGAACUAUAGGGAGUGUGUGGAACAGUACCCAUGGAUUUCCAGGAUCCAACGAUGGAAGAAUAUACCUUACAUUCAUAAAGUUGCUCUUUUCUGUGGCAAAACUGAAAUACUUUAUAUUCAUUGAUUGUAGGGCCAAAAGAAACACCAAUCUUAGGUUCUGAUGUGGGGGUUGGUGGGAGUAACAGGACUUCUCGGGUGGCAGGGUUACAAAUAUGUAUGUCAAAGGUGCUACUAUCUUUAAUCCAUUCAUAAAAUAUAGGGCCGUGGAAGUAAAUACAACAGAUCAAACCAUUAAAGGAACAAACCAUACGUUUAAGGUAAAACCCAUCACAAUCAAGGAAACUUCGAGUAGUUUUUCUUUCAGUUUUGGUGAGCAAAGGUAUGUUGUCGUCCGAAGAGGGAUAAGAAGGAUAGAAAGCAUAACUUGAUUUUUCUCGAGAUUGGACUAGAUGCGAAUGCAUAAAACUAGGACUGCAAAUUAAAUCCCGCCAAUAUUUAGAAACGGACUUGCAUAUCAAGAGGGAUUUAACAGGAAGCCUUGAGAGAAUGUUGGUGAGGAUGUCUUCCACUUCAAACACGUUGUCAUUCUGGGUUACCCGUAUCAACUUGCUCCCAAAAUCAUCCAUUCUUAUCUUCCUCUACCUCUCUUUUAAGAAUCCUCUACCUCUCUUUUUGUAUCAAGAGCCUGCCCCCGCCUUCAGUAGAGAGAAACAAAAAUACGGCAAAAGAAAAGAAUUUUAAGAAGGGAGUAAAUAAGAAAAGAAUCCAAUAAACCUACCUUCACUAUGCAAUUUAUAUAUACCUUGAGAUGUAAUGUAUUUAGUAAUUCCAAGGCCAAAAGAAACUCCAAUUCUAUUUGUUAACGACUUCUUAGAUGCCAUAUUUAUGGACUUUCCUUUCAAUAUCUAUAUCAUUCAAUAAAGUAGGUAAUUAUUAAUAGGAAGUAGUAUAAAAAUGGAGAGUUUAUGAGACGUACGGAAAUAGGAUUAUUAAAAAUUUGGAAGAUUUAUCCAAGAGGAACACUUAAACCCUGCCAAACCCCUAUAUGAAAAUACGGAAGACGAAGGCAGAAAGUUGAUCUGCAAGUGAGCGAUACUCUCUCGAGGCUUCCUGUGAAGACCUGAUUGUAUGCAAGCAUGGAUGAAAGUUUCCAUUUUUUUUGCCGAAAUUUCGCGCCAAAUUUCGGGUUGAUAAAGGCCCUUGCUUGGUCAAUCUUGAAGGCCACUUAUCUCUAGUGGAUGAUUGUAUGCAAGGAAAAAACUCUACGCCCUUGCUUGGUCAAUCUUGAAGGCCACUUAUCUCUAGUGGCUGCAAAUGGUGUUGAUAAAGGCAGAUUUGAUAUAUGGGUUUUACAGGACAGCAAGAGUCUAUUUGGGUUUUACAUGCCCAUCUUUAAUAUUGAGUUAACUAUGUAGCAGUACGAAAGAACGAAAUUCUAUUUGGAAGUGUCAAACAUCAUCUUUUCUAUAACAUGGUGACCAGAACUUGGAGAGAACUGAACUGGGAACAUAGUUGUCGAGAUAGGUUUUCUUUUCCAAUGACAUAUACAGAGAGCCUCCUCCCUUGUAAGUAUUGAAACUGGCUUUCUUAUACCUCCUUCUGGUGUUUUAUCACAAAUCUGCAUCAUAUUUUUUUAAAAAUGAAACAAAAUGGUUCCCUGUUUUAGUUUUAAUCAAACGAAUUUACCAUGGACUUUCAAAGUAAUGAUUUACUUAAGAAAUCAGAGAGUUCCUAAUAUCUUCUCCUUUCUUUUAACAGGCAAUGGGCUCAUUGGUUCUUAAACUGAGGACAUCUCUAGUACUGGGGCAAAAACUCUUGGUCAUAGAUCUUCAUUGGCUUGUUUAGGUAUUUUUUUCUAAUCACAGUAAAAAUUAGCUGAAUUGCGCAAUCCUUUUUGCUAAAUCUAUGGAUUUUAUGGUUGUUUGCUCCUUGUUUAUCAUCUUUGUAGACUUAUGGAUUCAAGUGAAAGAAUUGAUGUAAGUAUUUGGGAAAAGGAUUUGCGAAUGUACGUUAUACACAAAUUUUUGGGCAGUGUUUCUGCCUAGUGAAAUAUUUAGUUUAAGAACAUUACUUGACCAAUUCUACAAGUACAAAAACUGCUUAUGCUACAAGCUUUCUUAAAGGUUUGGCCAGUUCAAAGGCUAGUUAGUUAAAGCUGGAUUUCGACUGAGGUUAUUCAAAGGCAAUGCUGCUCUUAUAUUAUGAUAACGUGAGAGGAUGUUGUGUUUUAUUUUACUUGUCAGAAUCAAAGUCUUGGCUUGACUUUUCCUGAAGGCUGAAGGAUUAUAUUUCCAUGAGAGAAGGGCUGAGCUGCCAAUGGUUCUCCUCUUUCAAAACAUGUCAAUAUCAAAAGUCUUGGCUUGAAUUAUUGAUGUCGAUGUGUGCUGAGAUAAUAGAUAAGCAAUCUUCAAGAUCAAUGAAGAAGAGGUGUUUAGUAAAAUAAAAUAACGAUGGCGGGUGUAGUUUUGCUUUUUAUAUUUUCAAAAUAAUGAUUCCGAAGAUCAAUAAGAAAAAAUAUUGCUUAUCUCAAAUUUACUUGAAUUUUUAUUUUAGUUUAUUAUUAUUAUUUAUUUUAUUCCUUUUACUUCAAUCUAAUCGAUAAAAAACCUUUUUUUCCUAUUUAAGUAGAUAUUAUGUACGAAGAAUAUAUCAAUUUUUAGUGAUCCAAAAUAGAUACUAUGUUUGCAUUAUAAGAUCGACUAAGAUAUAUCUUUAUAACUUUAUAUUUUUUUCCUUUAGAAAGAAUUUUUUAAAUUACGGUAAAAUUUUGAUAGAAAUAAAACUUUUUUGUUAUAUGGUAUAUCCAGCCCAAUAUCUAAUUGAUUUGAUAAAUCCUAACACAAAUUAUCUACCCAACGAAAAUCCUAAGGAUUAAUACAAUUAGGGGAAAUGUUCAAAGGCAUCCACCAAACCAACCUGAUGAAACAUGAAAGAAAAAUGCCUGUAAUCCAUAGGUGACCAAACCAAUCAGCAUCUACCAGAACACUUCGAUGGUCUAUGAAGAAGAAGAAGAAGAAGACAAACACAAGGUAAGAAGCAAGGAUUGAGCAGAAACAGUAAGCACUUCAUCUAGUUGCACUAUGAUGAAAGGAAAUACUACAAAACAAGCCAAAAGGACCACAACAAUCUGCAGCACUAAACAUGUUGUCCUCGAUUUAUGAAUCAAUGCGUCCAUUGCCUGUUAAAGAAAGAAGAAAAUAUCAGGAACUCUUUGUUUCUUUAAUUAAAAAAAAAACAUAUACUUAAAACAUAUUUAAUAAAAUAUAAGGUAUUUAAAUAAUAUUAAAUUUUAUUAAAAAUUAAAUAACAUAUACUUCAUAUAAUUAUGCAAUCAUUUGUAAAUUAAUAACUACUUGAUGAAUUUAAAAAAAAAAAGAAAAUCAAACAAAAGAUAACCCACUACUAAAAAAUAUCUUAUAAAAUAUCAAUUAUAAAAUUACUCAAAAUUUUUUAUAAACAUUUAUUUUGUAAUGUAUAUUAGUAUUUAAAUAAAAUUAAUUUUAUAAACACUACAUAAAAUUUCAAAUAAAUACAAAAAAAAGAAAAAAAAAUUCAUUCAAGGUGCAUACUUAUCUAAAGUUUUUUUUUUCUUUCACAUAAAAUUACUUGUUUAGGUGGGACAAACCCGUAGUUUUGCUUUUUCGAAUUCUUACACAAAUCAAAGAAUAUUUUUAUUUUUAAAAUUUGAGGGCAUCUUAAUGAUGGCUCCGCCAAUUAUUUAUUUAAAGUUAGUUUAAGGAUUUGGAGUUUAUCGAGGAUAAAGACAAGAAUUUAAUUUAGGGUAUUAAAGAUUAAAUUAGCAGUUACCUUUAUCAAUUGAUGGAUUUGAAAUAUUUGUAAGAUUUGAUGAUUAAUUUAAAGUUACCUUUAAUAAUUUUUUUAAAUAUUAAAAAUUUAUUAUUAAAUAUAAAAAAUUAUAUACAAUUGUGUUUAUAUGCAAGGGCUAAGAUUUUUAAUUUUCCCGAAAAUUUCAUAGAAGUUGAUGUUGAUCCAAGGGCUAAGAUUUCACCCAUGUUUUUAAAAAGGAAUCCCACGUACUAUUUUAAAUUUACAUUACUCUUUUAUUUUAUAUUAUCCAUUUUUUAAAAUUAAUUUUCAUAUUUAUUACAUUAAUCCUAUUUUAAAAAUUAUUAUCACUUUCACUUUUAAUUUUUUAAUAGUUAUCCUUUUAUUUUUCUUAAAUUUUUAAUAUUUUUAUUUUAAAAUAUUAAAAAUAUAUAUAUUUAUUCAAAAUUACUCAAAUAUCAAAAUAAUUAAUAAAGUUCUAAUAUUUUAUAAAAUUAUAAUUAAUUUGAUAAGAUAAAUUUUUAAUAAUUUAAUAAAUUAAUGUCAAUAGGAAAAAAUUGUCACAACAAAUUUUUAAUAAAAUUUUAGAAAUUUAAUCCCAAAUAAAAUAUUUUAUAUAAACCUUGAAAAUGAUAUAAUUUUUAUUUAAAAUGUGAUCAAACAUGUUUUAAUAAAAUUUAAAAUAAAUGAAUAUAAAUAUAUUAAAAGAAUUUAAGAUAUUUUUUCUAAAAAAAUUGAAAAAUAUUGUUAUUAGAAAUUUUAAUAUAGAUUUUUUUAUAAAAUUUAAUUUUUUUGAAAUUAACAAUCUGAUUUAAAGUCAGAUUUGAAGAAUUUUAAAAUUUGAAGAAACAUUAAAAAUUAUUAUUUAUUUUAACAAAAUAUUUUCAAUAUCUUUUAACAUAAUUAUUUCAAAAAUAUAAAUAUAAUGUAGUUUAAUUCUUAAAUAUCGAAUAAAAUAUGUUUUCAAUGAAAUAAAAUAAAAUAAAAAUUCUUUUAGGGUUAUUUUUGUUCAAUAAAACAACCCCUACUUGCAUAUUACUUCUUUUUCUAUUAUUUUUCUAGUUUUGAUUAAUUCUGUCUUACUAAUAUUUUAUGUCAAAAUAAUGAUUUAUUCAUGUAUCCAUAAAAACAUAUUUUUUUAAAUUAAUAAAUAUAGUUCGGAAAAGAGUUUACACUUUUGAAAUUCAAUAAUAAUAGUUAUUUUAGUUCUUUUCAAAUAUUAAUUUGUCUUUCAUGAUUUUUUUAAUAAAUAAUUUUUUUUUUUGCUUUUCUUCAUUUUUUUGUUUAAUUUUUCAUAAGGUCUAUCACUUUAAACUAAACAAGCUUUAAUAUAUAUGUUUGUAAUAAUCCUAUAUUAUACUAGUAGUUAAACACAAUUGUAUGUAAUUUUUUUAUGUUUAAUAAUAAAUUUUCAAUAUUAAAAAAUUAUUAAACUUAGAAUCUAUAAGAAAAUCAACAAAAACAAUAUAUUAAUUUAGAAAUUAUGAAAUCUAAAAUUUAUAUAAAAAGUUAAAACAAAAAUUAUUUAUAAAUAUUAAAAAAAUGAUAGUUAAAUUAAGAUAGUGGUUCUAUGAAAAUUUUAAAAAUAACUAAGAUAUGGAAAAAAAAAAAACAAGGUGAGCGUAAAUUGGUGAUAAGUUUUAAUAAAUAGAGAUCAAAUUUAAAAAACUUUAGUUUCUACUUUUAUUUAUUUAGAUUUUAUUUUUAAUUUCAUUUUAUUUCUUAGUUAAUUGGGUCUUCCUUAAAUUCUAAUACCAUAAUAUUUGAAAAAAUUUAUGAUCAUUGAUUCAACUUUCAACCCGUGCUCCAUAAAAGGGAAAAUAAAAGAAAAAAAAACUCUUCCAUUUUAUUUUUUUAAUUUUGAUACAUAAAACUAAAUUGUAUCUAAAAUCAGGAAAAAUCCCUCCAUACUUGGAGGGUACACCAUAAUUUACAUUUCAAUACUUGCAUGGGAGGAGGCUCUCUGUGUAUGCCAUUGGAAGAGAAAACUUGUCUUCAUGAGCAUGUUCCCAGUUGAAUUCUCUCCAAGUUCUGGUCUCCAUGUUAUAGAAAACAGAACGUACCCAAUUUGCAAGAAGAAUUUCAUUCUUUUGCACAGUUACAUAGCUAAGUCCUUGAAUAUUAAAAUUUUGGGGGAUAUUAUCACUCCAUUUCUUCAUCCAAACUGACUCCUUACUAUCCUGUAAAGCCCAUAUAUCAAGUUGGCCAAGUCCAUGUCGAGCCACCAGACACAAACAACCUUCAAGAUUCACCAAGAAAGGGCGCAUAGUUUCUUCCUCUGGAAUCCUAAUUGUGCUAAAAUUUUCCUCCUUAUCAACUGCAAGGAUGUGGCCGACCAGCCGCCCGUCUAUCAUUGAUAAGCUAAACCAGAACACCGUUUCAUUAAUACAUACAUGAUUGGAAGAAGUAUAGGGACUGUAUGGAACAGUACCCAUAGAUUUCCAGGAUCCAACGAUGGAAGAAUAUACCUUGCAUUCAUAAAGUUGCUCGUCUCUGUAGUAAAACUGAAAUACUUUAUAUUCAUUGAGUGUGGGGCCAAAAGAAACACCAAUCUUGGGUAUAUAUUCUGAUGUGGGGGUUGGUGGGAGUAACAGGACUUCUCGGGUGGCAGGGUUACAAAUAUGUAUGUCAAAGGUAUUACUAUCUUCAAUCCUUUCAUAAACAAAAGGGCCGUGGAAGUUAGUGCAACAGAUCAAACCAUUAAAGGAACAAACCAUACCUUCAAAGUAAAACCCAUCACAAUCAAGGAAACUUUGAGUGGUUUCUCCAUCAGUUUUGGUGAGCAAAGGUAUGUUGUCGUCCCAAGAGGGAUAAGAAGGAUAGAAAGCAUAACUUGAAUUUUCUCGAGAUUGGACUAGAUGCGAAUGCAUAAAACUAGGACUGCAAAUUAAAUCCCGCCAAUAUUUAGAAACGGACUUGCAUAUCAAGAGGGAUUUAACAGGAAGCCUUGAGAGAAUGUUGGUGAGGAUGUCUUCCACUUCAAACACGUUGUCAUUCUGGGUUACCCGUAUCAACUUGCUCCCAAAAUCAUCCAUUCUUAUCUUCCUCUACCUCUCUUUUUGUAUCAAGAGCCUGCCCCCGCCUUCAGUAGAGAGAAACAAAAAUACGGCAAAAGAAAAGAAUUUUAAGAAGGGAGUAAAUAAGAAAAGAAUCCAAUAAACCUACCUUCACUAUGCAAUUUAUAUAUACCUUGAGAUGUAAUGUAUUUAGUAGUUCCAAGGCCAAAAGAAACUCCAAUUCUAUUUGUUAACGACUUCUUAGAUGCCAUAUUUAUGGACUUUCCUUCCAAUAUCUAUAUCAUUCAAUAAAGUAGGUAAUUAUUAAUAGGAAGUAGUAUAAAAAUGGAGAGUUUAUGAGACGUACGGAAAUAGGAUUAUUAAAAAUUUGGAAGAUUUAUCCAAGAGGAACACUUAAACCCUGCCAAACCCCUAAUAUGAAAAUACCCAAAUCCCUAAUUUCACCGUCUCUCUCCUCUGCGUCUAGCCCUUUUCCUAUUGAAGACGAAGGCAGAAAGUUGAUCUGCAAGUGAGCGAUAUGCUCUCGAGGCUUCCUGUGAAGACCCUGAUCGAAUGCAAGUCAGUUUGCAAAUUUUGGCGUGAGCUUGAUUUGCAGUCCUUACUUCAAUGGUUUGCAGUUACAGAGAUGACAUUUGAUGGAGAUGACAUUUGUGUAAUUUCCCAGUUCUGGUCUGAUAAUAAACUCUUUCUUUCAAGACUCCAAAUAUACUAAUCGAUUUAUGUACUAAAAAAAACUAUUCAAUAAAAUAUUAGAUAUUUAAAUAACAUUAAAUUUUAUUAAAAAUUAAAUAGCAUAUGAUUCAUAUAAUUAUGCAAUCAUUUGUAAAUUAAUAACAAUUUGAUAAAUUUUUUAAAUCUAAAUCAUUUUAAAAAUAUGAAAAUCAAACAAAAAUAACCCAUCACUAAAAAAAUAUUUAAUAAAAUAUCAAAUAAAAAGAUAUCAAUUUUUUUUUAUAAUUUAUAUUGGUAUUGAAAUAAAAAUAAUUUUCCAAACAUUAAAUAGGAUUUAAAAUAAUAACAAAAAAUUUAUAAAAUUUAUUUGGUGUGGACAUUAUUAUAGUAACAAUUCAAAGGUUUGUAAUUCCAUAUUUUUUCAUAUUUAAGUUUAAUAGAACUUUCAUUAACCAUGACGACCAAAAAAAUAAUAUAAAAAUAAAAUUUGAAAUACAAAUAAAAAUAAAUUAAAAGGAUAAAAAAUAUUGAUUUCUAAUCCAAGUCCAUCAUUAUGUAGUCCUAAGUAUGAAAAUAAAAUAAAAUAGAAAAAAUAAAACUAAAACCCAUUAUUCCAUCUUCUUCUUACAAUUUUAUGGUUUUUUAAUAUAAAAAAAAAAUGAGAAUAGUGGUUUUAUGAUUUUUUUUUUUAACCUAAGAUUUGAAAAAAAAAAAAAAACAAGAUAAGUGUAAAUUGGUGAUAAGUUUUAAUAAACAAAAAUCAAAUUCAGAAAAAUUUAGUUUUUUUUUUAAAUUUCGAUUGUAUUUUUAAUUUAAUUUUAAAUUAGUAAAUUGACUCUUUCUUCCACUUCAAACACAUUCUCAUUUUGGGUACACUUGGACUUACUCCCAUAACCAUCCAUUCUUAUCUUCCUCUACCUCUUUUUGUAUCAAGAGAUGGAUGAUGACUUCUUCAACAGACCUACCUCCCAUAAUCAUCCAUUCUUAUCUUCCUCUUCCUCUUCCUCUACCUCUUUUUGUAUCAAGAGAUGGAUGAUGGCUUCUUCAACAGACCUACCUCCACUAUACAAUUUAUAUAUCUUGAGAUGUAAUAUAUUCGUUUAAGAAAGGAAAAACAAGUUAUAAUGCUAAAAACAUUGAUAAAAAAUAAAUUUCAUAUUUUAUCAAAAAAAUUAAAUAAUAUUUUCAAAACAGAAUUUUGGAUUAGAAUUCUUUUAAUAAUUUUAGAAUUUUUUUUUUUUUUGCUACAAAUUUUAAAAAGUCAAUAAAUUCACUAAUAAAUUUUAGAAGUUUUGGAAAUAACUAAAUGUAAACCACCUGAGAGUGAUUUUUUUAAAAUUUAUUUAAAACCUAUUUAAAACAUGAGAAAUUAUAAAUAAAAUUAAUUUAACAAACAUUAAAUAAAAUUUAUAAUAAAAAAUUGUAUAAAAUUCAUCUAAAGCUUUUUUCUCACGUAAAAUUACUAAAAUCUGUACUGAUAUGUAGAUGUGUAAUUUGAUUGAUAUUAUAUAUAUAUAUGUUAUGAUCACUUUAUUAUUAUCGACUUGAAUUAAAGAUUCAAGGUGUCCAAGACCUCCAUGAGAAAAUCUGAGUAAAAUGGCACGGGAAGAAGCCAAGCCUUCAACAAUAUAACAAAACAGGAACUAAAAGAUGUGAGAAAGCUUAUACCCUAAUCAGCCUUUUUAUAGCUUUUAGAGUAGGGCGAGCGAUGUUCUCUAACCAAAUAUUUCAUCUAGCAAUAGCAAACCAUGCAGAAAAGACUGGUCUCAAAGCAAGUCAAAAAAAUAUUGGAGCCACCUCUUGAGCAGUCAGAAAUUAACAUGGUGACAAAUCAAAGAAAAAUGCUUAUAAUCUGUAGGUGUCCUAGGCAAUUAGUAUUAUAUGGCGUUGUUCUCCUGAUCUGCCGAGAUGAUGAUAAUAAUAGCAGCAAGGAUUGAGCACAUGAAGGCCAUGAGAGUGAAAUAGAUUGAUGUCCUUGAUUUAAGAAUCGAUGCGUCCAUUGCCUGUAAAAAGAAAAGGGACAAUAUAUAUCAGCAACUCUUUGAUUCCUUCAUUAAAACACUACUCAGAAACUGAUUAAUUUUCUUAAUUUUUUAAAAUAUGAAGCAGAACUGUAAUAAUUUAAUCAACUUGAAAAAUCUCUCCCUACUUGCCGGGGAGGUAGAACAUGAUAUAGGUUUCAAUACUUACAAGGGAGGAGACUCUCUGUGUAUGCCAUUGGUAAAGAAAACAGCUCUUCCGAAUCAUGUUUUGGAUCCCGGUUGAAGUUUCUCCAAGAUCUGGUCCCCAUGUUAUAGAAAACAUAAAGUUUGGAAUUUGCAAAAAGAAUUUCAUUCUUUCGCACAGCUACAGAUCUAACUGGUUCACUAUCAAAAGUAGUGGGUAUAUAAUCAUUCCAUUUCUUGAUCCAAACAGACUCUUUGCUGUCUUGUAAAGCCCAUAUGUCAAAUCUAUUUUGAUCAAGUUUAUGUAGAGUCACUAGACACAGACAACCUUCAAGAUUGACCAAGAAAGGGUUUAGAGUUUCUUCCUCCGGAAUCCUAAUUAUGCUAAAUUUUUCCUCCCUAUCAACCGCAAGGAUGUGACCAACUAGUCGUCCGUCUAUUAUUGAUAUACUGAACCAAUACACUAUUCCAUUAAUACAUACAUGGUUGCAAGAACCAGAGGGACAGUGUGCAAUAGUACCAAUGGAUUUCCAUGAUCCAGUGAUGGAAGAAUAUACCCAACAUUCAUAAAGAUGCAUUUCUCUGUAGAAAAACUGAAAUACCUUAUAUUCAUUGAUCGUAGGGCCAAAAGAAACACCAACCGCACCUGGAUAUUUUGAUUCGGGGGUUGGUGGGAGUAACAGGACUUGUUGGGUGGCAGGGUUGCAGACCAGUAUGUCCAAGGUACUACGUCUAAGGCCUUUUCCGAUGACAGGGUUGUAGAUAUGUGUGUCCGGGGUUCUACGUUGAAUCCAUUUACGUAAGAAAUGGGUUUGGAUGUCAAUGCAACAGAUCAAACCAUUAAAGGAACAGAUCAUACCUUUAGAGUAAAACCCAGGACAUCCAGGAAGAAAACUUUCAGUGGUUUCUCCAUCAGCUUUGGUCAACAAAUGUAUGUUGCCGCCUCGGAGGGUAUAACGAUGGAAAACAUAAGUGGGAUUUUCUUGAGAUUGGAUUAGAUGCAAAUUCAUGAAACUACGACUGCAAAUUAAACUCCACCAAUAUUUACAAACGGACUUGCAUAUCAAGAGGGAUUUAACAGGAAGCCUCAAGAGAAUGUUGGUGAAGAUUUCUUCCACUUCAAACACAUUCUCAUUCUGGGUAUACUUCAACUUACUCCCAUAAUCAUCCAUCCUUAUCUUCCUCUACCCCACCUUCAGCAGAGAGAAGCAAAACAAAUCGCAACAAAAAAUAAUUUUAAUCUCUAGGAUGGAAUAAGAAAAGAAUCCAAUAAACCUACCAUCACUAUACAAUUUAUAUUAUCUUGAGAUGUGAUAUAUUCAGUAGUUCCAAGGCCAAAAGAAACUCCAAAUUCGUAGGCAACUUCUUAGAUACCAUAUUUAUGGACUUUCCUUUAGGUAUUAUCUAUAUCAUUUAAUAAAAGAAGUAAUUAUUUACAUUCCUUAUCAAAAGAAAAAAGAAAUAUAAUAAUGCAUCAAAUUUAACGGAAAAAUACUAAAAACAUUGAUAAAAAAUAAAUUUGAUUGAAAUUUUAUCAAAAAAAAAUUCAAAUAAUAUUUUCAAAAUAGAAAUUUGACUAGAAAUUUUUUUAAUAGUUUUAGAGGUUUUUUGCUACACCUUUUAAAAAGUUAAUAAAUUCAAUAAUAACUUUUUAGAAUUUUUGAAAAUACCUAAGAUGAUGUUUAUUUUUUGGUUGAAUAAUAAAAAAGAAAAAUUUUUAUUUUUUUAUUCAAUUAUAAGCAACUUGUUGAUAUCGAUUAAUAUAAUUAAAGUGGACUUGUUAUUAAUAGGUUCAUUUUAAUUAUGUUAGUGGAUAUUAACGAGUUACUUUUAAUUGAAUAGAAAAAGUCAAAAUAAUACUAUCUAAAUAUAAAUAAUUUUAGAGUGAAUUUUUUUAUUUUAUUUGAAACUUAUUUAUAACAUAAAAAGAUGUACUUCAUUGUAAAUUUGUAACGGCUUUAUUAAACCUAAAAAUCUCAAAGUUACACAAAAAAAAAAAACCAUUACUUAAAAAAUGUUUAAUAAAAUAUAAGGUAUUUAAAUAAUUUUAAAUUUUAUUAAAAAUUAAAUAGCAUAUACAUCAUAUAAUUAUGUAAUCAUUUUAAAAUUAAUUACUACUUGAUGAAAUUUAAAAAUCUAAACAUUUAAAAAAAUUAAUAACUAUUUUAUAAUUUAUAUUAGUAUUUAAAUAAAAUUAAUUUUAUAACCACGAAAUAAAUUUUAAAAUAAAUACGAAAAAACUUUAUAAAAUUUAUUCAGCGUCCACAAUAAUGUAAAGUUUUUUUUUUUCACAUAAAAUUAUUUUUUUAGGAGGGACAAACUUGUAUUUUCGCUUUUAGAAUUCUUAAAUAAAUCAAAGAAUAUUUUGGAAAUUUGAGGGGCAUCCCAUUAUGGCUCCGCCAACAUAUAUGAAAAUUAUUUAAUAAAUUAUUAAAUAUAAAAUUAUCAAAAUUUAUUUUUACUAAAAUUUAUUUUAUAAUGUAUAUUAGUAUUUAAAUGAAUUCGAUUUAAAAAAAAUGAAAUUUAAAUAAAAUCUAAAAUGUAAAAAAUUAUAAAAUUCAUUUACUGUCCAUAAUUAUAUAAAGUGUUUUCCCAUAUAAAAUUAUUUUUUUAGGAGGGACAAAUUUGUAAUUUUAUUUUAUAAAAUUCUUAAAUAAAUGAAAGAAUCUUUUUAUGUUUUUGAAGAUUUGAGGGGCAUCCCAUGAUGGAAUCCCCCAUUAGAAUGCUUAUAUUUUCAUAUAAAAAUUUAAUAAAAUUUCAGCUUAACCAUGGUCAACAAGAUGUCUAAAAAAUUAAUAUAAAAAUAAAUUUAAAAUAAAUUCAAACUAUAUAAAAUAUUUAUUUUUGCCCAAACUUUAUCAUUAAAUCAAUAGCAAAAAUAUAAAAAUAAAAUAAAAUUUAGAAAAAUGAAAAUAAAUUGAAAAGAUAAAAACUAUUGAUUUCAAUUCAAAUCCAUUGUUAUGUGGAAUAGUAAAUAUUAAAAUAAAAUAAAAAUAGAAAAAAUAAAACGAAAGCCCGUUAUUCAUAUUUGCUUUCCUUUUUUUUGUCUUUUAUUUUCUUCUAUUGAGAUGAAAAGAGGUUAGUACGACAUGUAGAAAUUUUGGAGCCUCAAGCGAAGCGAAGAAAAAUCAAAGGCAACUAACUAAAGCAAAUAAAAAAAAAAAAAAAUGUCUGUAAUUAAGAGUCCGUUUGGUAAUGAUUCUAAGAAACGUUUCUAACUUUAUUAACAUUUAAAAAGUUUUAUUAUUCAAAUGUUAAAAAUGUUAGAAAUGUUUCCUAAAAUCACUAUCAAAUGCACUCUAACUAAAGUAAAAAAAAAUCAAAGAAAAAUAUUUGUAAUCCAUAGAUGAACAAAGCAAUUAGUAUUUGCCACAAUACUUUGACGGUCUACAAAGAAGUUGAUGAGAUAAACUAAACAAGAAGCAAGGAAUGAUGAAAAACAAUACUCCAAAACAAGUCAAAAAGAUCACAACAAUCUGCAGCAUCAGUCAUGUUGUCCUUCAUUUAUGAAUCAAUGAGUCCAUGGCCUGUUAAAAGAAGAGGAAGAAUAUCAGACACUCUUUGAUUCUUAAUUAGGAAAAAUCCCUCCAUACUUGCAAGGGAAGUACAACAUAAUUUACAUUUCAAUACUUACAAGGGAGGAGGCUUUCUGUGUAUGCCAGUGGAGGAGAAAACCCGUUUACACGACCAUACUCCCAGUUAAAUUCUCUCCAAGUUCUAGUCCCCAUGUUAUAGAAUAAAUACUGUUUCCAACUUCCAAAGAGAAUUUCAUUUUUUCGCACAACUAUAUAUUGAAAUUGUUCAAUUUUAAAAAUGGGCAUAUAAUCACUCCAUCUCUUGACCCAAACGGACUCCUUGCUGUUUUGUAAAGCCCAUAUAUCAAAUCUGUUUUCGACAACUCCAUUUUCAGCCACUAGACACAAACAACCUUCAAGAUUGACCAAGAGAGGGUAUAGAGUUUCUUCCUCUGGAAUCCUAAUUAUGCUAAAUUUUUCCUCCCUAUCAACUGCAAGGAUGUGGCCAACCAGCCGUCCGUCUAUUCUUGAUCUGCUGAACCAGUACACUGUUCCAUUAAUACACACAUGGUUGAAAGAAGUAGAGGGUGCGUGUGCAACAGUACCUAUGAAUUUCCAGGAUCCAGUGAUGGAAGAAUAUACCAUACAUUCAUAAAGUUGCUCUUCUAUGUAGAAAAAUUGAAAUAUUUCAUAUCCAUUGAUUGUAGGGCCAAAGGAAACCCCGAGCUUAGGUGCACAUUUUGAUUUGGGGGUUGGUGGGAGUAAUAGGACUUCUCGAGUGGCGGGGUUAUAGAUAAUUAUGUCCAUGUGACGACGGGGACUACGUCUAAUAACACAUGAACGAGACUUACGAGGGGUAGUGCAACAUAUCAAACCAUUGAAGGAACAAAUCAUAUCUCUAAAGUAAAACCCAUCAUAACUAGGGAAACUUUGAGUGGUUUCUCCAUCAGUUUUGAUCACCCAAUGUAUGUUGUUGUCCCAGAAGACAUAGGAAGGAUAGAAAACAUAACUUGGAUUUUCUUGAGAUUGGAUUAGAUGCAAAUGCAUGAAACUAGGACUGCAAAUCAAACCUUGCCAGUAUUUACAAACGGACUUGCAUACCAAGAGGGAUUUAACAGGAAGCCUUGAGAGAAUAUUGGUGAGGAUUUCUUCCACUUCAAACACUUUCUCAUUCUGGGUUACCCACAUCAACUUGCUCCCAAAAUCAUCCAUUUUUAAUAUUUGAUCUUUCUGGACCUCUUUCUCUCUUGUAUCCACCUGUAACAUUCAAUAGAGAAACAAAAAUAUGGCAAAUAGAAUUUUAAUCUCAAGAAGGGAGUCAUUAAGAUCACUAUAUAUUUAUCUUGAGGAUGUAAUAUGUUAGGUAGUUCCAAGGCCAAAAGAAACCAUAAUUGUAUUUGCAUACAACUUCAUAGAUACCAUAUUUAUGGACAUUGCUUCCCAUAUUACCUGUAUCAUUUAAUAAAGUAAGUAAUUAUUUAAUAAAGGAAAAAACACUAAAAACAUGGUAUUAAAAAAAAAAAAUUGAAUUUGACUAAAAUUUUAUCAAAAAAUUCAAAUACUAUUUGCAAAACAGAAAUUUAACUAGAAUUUUAAAAAAUAAUAAUAAUUAUAGAAUUUUUGGAAAUAACUAAAUAUAAAUUAUUUGAGAGAUUUUUUAUAUUUAAAACUGAUUUAUAACAUGGAAAGAUAUUGAUUGUAAACUUGUAACUAAGUUAAACAAAAAUAACGCAUUACUAAAAAAUAUUUAAUAAUAUAUAAGAUAUUUAAAUAAAAUUAAAUAGAAUAUAUUUCAUAUAAUUAUCUAAUCAUUUGUAAAUUAGUAACUACUUUAUGAAAUUUAAAAAUCUAAACAUUAAAAAAAAAUUUAAAAUCAAACAAAAGAGAACCCACCAUUUAAAAAUAUUUAAUCCAAUAUCUAAUCAUUUCUAAAUUAGUAACUACUUGAUGAAAUUUAAAAUCUAAACAUUUAAAAAAAACAAAAAAAAAAAGUCAAACAAAAUAAUUUGUGUCCAUAUUUAUGUAAAGUUUUUUUUUUCACACAAAAUUAUUUUUUAAGAGGGACAAACUUGUAUUUUUGCUUUUGAAAAUUCUCAAAUAAAUCAAAGAAUAUUCUUAUUUUUUAGAUUUGAGGGGCAUCCCGUGAUGGCUCCGUUAUAUAUAAUAAUAGGUUAACCAUCGUCAAGAUACUUAAAAAAAAUCAUUUGGUCAAUAAUAAUAUAAAAAAAAAAUCAAAAUUUAAAAUAAAUUUCAAAAUAAAAAUAAAAAUUAAUUAAAAAGAUAAAAAUUAUUGAUUUUUAUUCAAAAUCCAUAAUUAUGUAAAUCCCAAAUAUGAAAAUAAAGUAAAAUCCGUAUUUGUACAUGACUUCUUAGAUACCAUAUUUAUGGACAUUGGUUUCAAUAUUACUUAUAUCAUUUAAUAAAGUAAUUAUUUAGGUUGGUUAUAAAAAAUAAGAAUAAAUAUUUUAUUUCUAUUAUUAUUUCUCUUAGAAUAUGAAUGAAUUUGGUGAUAAAAAUGGGAAUAAAAAUUUUAUUUUCAUUAAUAUAAAUCAAUUUGGUGAUACCAAUUUUUACGUUAUGAUAAAUAUAAAAAUGUAAAAUUGAAAUUAUUAUUUGUUUUUAUCCAAUAUUUUGUAACAAUGGAAAUAAGAAUGAAAAAGGUAAUAAAUGGAUGAUAAUAUUUGUAUAUAUAGUUUAAAAUAAUUUUUAUUUUUAUUUUUAAAAAACUUUCAAACUAUACAUAGUUUUAAAUAUUUUUUUUCUUUCAUUUAAAUAAAACAUCUUCUGAUUUUUUUUCUAAAUAAUAAAAACUUAUUUGGUCAUAUGAUUUAAAAACAAUGUUUCAUUUUUUAAAAUAAAAAAUUAUUAUUUUUAAAAAUUUAUAACACUAUUUGGUUGUUAUUCUCCAAACACGGUUUAAAAAAUAAAGUGAAAUAUAGAAAAAGUUUUUUGAGAACUUUUGUUUCAUCUAUUUUCAAAAGCAAAAAGAAAACCUAAAGAAACUAGAAAUAAUAAUAAAAAAUAAAUAAAGUAGCACAUGUAAUGAAUGCCACCACAUUAAUUAUAAUAAAUGUUAAUUAAAUAUUAUUUAUGACUUCCAUUAAUACUCAUUAAUGAAAAUCAUUAAUAUUAUUUAUGAGUUCCAUUAAUAUUCAUUAAUGAGAAUAUUAAUGGAAGUCAUUUGGAAAGCCUAUAAAAGGAAGAAAUUUUUUAUUUUCUCUUAUUCUCUCUGUCUUUCAUUCUCUCAACUUUCUCAACUCUCUUCUCUGAAUCCUUUUUCCCAUUAUAUAUAUCAUUAAAGUAAGAUAUAUUUUAUUUCUACUAUUUUAUUUACGUUUCAUUUAUCUUUGUUUUACAACACGUUAUUAACACGAAUUGCUCUGAAGGUAAUUCCCGUAUCUUAAACUUGAAAUUAUUUAUAUAGAAUAAAAUUUUACAUAUUUAUAUUAUUGUUGAUUUUGUUUUGUUAUAUAUUAUUAAAAUAAACAAAUUAUUUGAUUUUGUUUAUAAUCAAAAGUGAUACCAAUGUUAUUUAUUAUAACUGAUUCUAAUAAUAUUGUUUUGUCAUAUAUAUGAAGUUAUUUGAUAAUGUCGAAUCUCAUAAAACUCGAAUUUGUGGCACUUGACAUUUCAGGAAAGAAUUAUCUAUCUUGGAUCCAUGCAAUGAAUUUUGGAGUUACGAUCAAAGAAGGAAAUCAAGCAUCCCUGCAAGAUCAUGCAAAAGCACUGAUUUUCCUUCGUCAUCAUCCAUGAACGUUUAAAAAAUGAGUAUCUAAUGGCAAAAGACUCUUUUACUUUAUGGAGUAAUUUGAAGGAAAGAUAUGACCACCAGAAAACUGUGAUUCUCCCAAAAGUUCGAUAUGAUUGGAUGCACAUGAGGUUGUACGUUUUAAAACUGUUAGCAAAUAUAACUUCGCACUUUUUAAAAUCAACUCUCAAUUAAAAUUGUGUGGAGAAAAAAAUCACAAAAGAAGACAUGUUAAAGAAAACUUUUACAAUGUUUUAUGCCUCAAAUGUGCUCAUGCACAAAAUAUUCUGAAUUAAUAUCAUGUCUUCUUGUUGUUGAAUAAAAUAAUUAAUUAAAAAGAAACAUUAUUGAUUUUUAUUCAAAAUCCAUAAUUAUAUAAAUCCCAAAUAUGAAAAUAAAAUAAAAUGGAAGAACUAAAACAAAAACCCAUUAUUCCGUAGAUAUCCACUUUCCCUUUCUUUUUGUCUUUUAUUUUCUUCUUCUUAGAUAUUUUGUCAUAUAAAAUAAUUUUAAGAUUUUUUAAUUAAGAAAUAUAAUACUAAAGGAAUUGCAAUUUUGAAAUCCGAUUAGAAUAGUUAUUUUAAUUAUUUUCAAAUAUUAAUUUGUCCUUUGUGAUAUUUUUUAAAUAAAUAAAUACAUUUUUUUUUUGUUUUAUUUUUCUUGACAUCUAUAACUUUAAACUAAAAAAUUUUAAUAUGUAUGUUUGCAAUAAUAUUCCUAUAUUAUAUAAGCAAUUAAAGAACAAAUGUAUAUAUAUUUUUUAUAUUUAGCAAUAAAAUAUCAUUUAAUAUAAGGGCUUGAUAAGAGAUUAAUGUAGAAAUUAUGAAAACUAAAAUUUAUAUUAGGAACAGUUGGCUAAUCCCAUUUAGAACUUAAAUAAGGAUCCAAUAAAUACAAAAAAUUAGUUUAAAAUGACUUUAUUGUUUUUUUUUCUUAUAAAAUCAUAUUUUUCCAAGUUUUUUUACAAGACAGAUGAAUUUUAAAUCAAGAAUUUAUUAGUGAGACUAAUAAUUUUUAAAUUAUCACUAAUGAUUUUUAAAAAUAAUUUAAAACUCAAAAAAAAUAUAUAAUCACUAUAAAGAAUAAUAUACCAUUAAUCGAAUCACUACAAAAUAAAAGAUUGAUUAAACAUAUAGUCAUGACUUAAAAUUUUAUAAAUUUUCUUAAUGGGUAAAUGUGGAUUUUAAAUUAAGGGAGAAAUAAGUAACAUUUUAAAAGGGUGUUGGAUUUGAGGAUUUGAGGCAUUUUAACCGAUCUCACCCCUGUAAGUACAUGGCUAUUUUUUUCACAAGAAAUGACCAAACCAUUGGUACAUUUUAUCAUCCUUUAGUCAGGUAAUUAAUCAACAAGUGUAUUACUUCCUGAAAAGUGUUCUUUGAGAUGUAGAAGUGGUUGAAUUGUAGACCUUUAACGGAAUAUAGUAGUAAUUAAUUCUACAUUACAAGAACUAAUUACCUGGAAGAUCCCGUGGCUCACAGUUGUUGGAUCAACAUCUGCAAUUGCCCGGCCGGUAAAAAGUAGCAUCCCAUAUCUUUUCACUACAAUAGUAGUAGCUGCUACUCCUAGUUAGUGCCUUCGCAUUUCACUUAAGGCUUUUGGAUUUAAAUAUUUGUUGACUAUAUCGACUGCAGUCCACAGUUACAAAAGAAAUGGAAAAAAAUAAAAUAAAAUAAAAUAAAAUUACAGACCAUCUAUUUGAAUAACACCCAAUCGGUCUAUAAUUUUUAUCUUUUUGUUGUUUAUGGUUUCUGUGUGUCUUCAACAGAAUAACAGUACACAAGCAAUGGCAACAAAACAAAAUGGGAAAAAUGGCCAGAAACAGCCAGCAGAAUCUAGAAGGAUAAAUGUAUGUCCUGUACUUAUUUAUUAACCACCACUGACAACUGUAAAUACAGCUACACCUAUUUAACUCCAACCCAUUACAUCAAAACUCAAGCUCAGCUUUGCUUCCACAACAAAACAAUGCAUGAUGAGGUGUCGACUCUUCAAGCACAUUUCCUAGAACACAGCCUCAUUUUUCUCUCUUUCAUUUCAAACUAUAUGUGUGGGCCAUCACAGCUUGUAAACCCGCCAAAGACGCAUAAAUUGAUCAAGACAUUUUGAUCUGGAUUUGCCGAUGGAUAUGUACUAGAAAUUCAACAUAGGAGAGUCCAAUUGCAGUCUUGUCUUCGACCAUAAAUGAGAAGAAGAGCAUCCCUUUGUACAGAAAGGACAAACACAGGUUGAAUUAAGUUAGUCAUAACAAAAUCACAUUUUCAUACAAUUCAAAAUGACAUGGCACUUGAUCACACAUUUACCUCCCACACCCCUACUUGGAUAUGAAACAAGUUCAUAUACUAUAAUAAAAAAUAAAAAUAAAAAAGGCACUUCAGUUUUACAUAUAAAAAGAUGAUGUAAGAGAAGUUCUGCAGGCAUGCAACAGGAAAGUGUCUUUAACAUCAGGCAGUUUGAUCCAUAUCCCAAUUCCACUACCUACUGCUUCAUGAAAGACCAGACGUGGGUCCCAAGUGACCAGACCAGACUAUAAUUUGCUAAUUAAAACAAUCCAAAUGUCUUGCAAGUCCCCCUUAAAUUUUUAUUAGUGGAGUCAGAAUCUGGGCAUCCAUGAAAAUGAAAAUUUUCCAUUCUGCCUCAUAUUGCAACUGAACAUUCAAAUUGGUAGUGAAAAUUAGAUCACCAGAAUAAACACUAAAUGAUCAUAGUAAUGCUAAUAAUACUUAAAAACAACCGAAUCUUCAGGUUCAAUCUAUUGUGCUUUGUCCAACUGUCAAUGCAGUUGAGCGCUAGUUUGCAUGAAGUCUGUUCUAGUGCAAUGACAUUGAGACCCUCCUUGUAAUCAUUAAAACACCCUAUUGUGAUCAACAAUAAAAUAACAGAAAAAGUUUUUUCCCCUUUUAAAUCCACGGAGAAACAUGACAGACUCAUCUCAAAUAAUGUGCAUAAUUUAAAUGGGAAGGUUUAAUUUCCAUGGGACAUCCAGACAGCACUAAAGAUCUCUUUUCAAAUAAUUUUGGAUGAAAGAGAAUAGUGGAUGACACAGGUCACAUUGAGUGGAAUAAUCUGAUGAUAUUUUGGUUCACUGUGUAUAGACACACUAACACACCAGUCUUAAUUUCUUUGUAAUUUUCGUAGAGGGUUGUUUUAAUUGACUGACCUGAUGCAUCUCCUUUUCUGCAUAAUUUUAUGCUGCAAGAAAAUAAAAAUAAAAUUUAGAAACAUAAAUAAUUUACAAUCAACAAACCUAAACCAAAUAGGAAAUUAUAUUUAAUUAUGAAAAUGCUGUAAGAUCUUUAAACAAUAUCAUUCGUACCGGAGGUAUGAACAUCUUUGGCGCCUUAUCUCAUUUACCAGUUCAUUUAGUUUCUUUGACAAGGGAUUGUCAUACUGCUGCAGCACAAACUAAACAAGAAAUGAAAAGAGGUUAAAAAUGACACAACACCAACAAUACAUGAAUAUGAGGAAGUUAAAAAAGACAAGUUGGACAGCCAGGUCCCCAGAAAAUGAAUCUUGUGGCUACAUACUAUCACUUGUUAGAAAUUCUGAUCCUCUACAAUUCUUAGCUAAAUCAUAGAAGGAACCUUAACAUUUCAUCAUUAGGAAGAAAGGAAAAUAUGGAUAUGGACAUCCAUAAGCACUCUUUUAGCAGUAUACUUAAUAAUCAAAAUUGUAAGCCAAUAAUCAACAUAGCUUAUUUAUUAUUAAAAUGUAGUAAAUAGUUCAUCCUUACGGCUGCACUUGUGGUAUGGGUUGCAGCAGGGUUAUAGGAGAUUUCAAGUUUGACUCCUACCAAGGGCAAAAAAAUAUUUUACCUACUGAAGGAAAAAGAAAAAACAUACGGUAAAGGAUCAAAAUCCUCACAUGAUUCUGGGACCAUCUUAUUUCAUGCCUUUAGAUUGGAAAGUUCUCAGAGAGACAAAGUAAAAGGCUACAUGAGGUUUUCAGAUCAGAGUUAACAAAUUCAUCUGAUAAUCAAGAUUGUUAGAUUGAGUGAUUUAAAUUCUAGAUCAUCUUAAGAUAUUCCUGAACCUCAUCAUGUGUCAAGUUCAAGUGCUCAAUGCUAUGAUUCUUAGGGUAAUAUUCAAAAUGUUCUAAACAAUAAUUAAUAAUAUCUGUCCAACAAUUACUUCAAAAAAAAAUAAAAAUAAAUAAAUAAAAUAAACUACCUGACUAGGAAUUACGUCAACCGAAGAAAUGCCAAACAGUUGUCGCAUGAUAUCUGGAUUCACCGAAUUCCCAAUAUAAAUCAAACCAUCAUCACCAUUCUCCAGUAGAUAGAUUCCAUCAUCGCUAACAUGCUCACUGGAAAGUGGAAUUGUAGGAGGAAUAAGAGGCCUGUCCCCUUCCUGUCAGUUCAGAAGAAAGAUGACAAUGUUUUUAGAGCAUAUUAAAACAGAAACAAGCAUAAAACGAUAUAACACCCUUACAUGUGAAUUAAGGUCAUGGAUAGCCAUCAUCCUCGGGUACACCAGAGGUAUUGCCAGAGGAGUAGAAAGUGGGGAAACAUAAUUGAUCCAAAAUGACCGAUCAUCUAUUCUCCCAUCAGUUCGCAGUCCAAUACUUUUGAUCAAUGCUAAAAAGCAAGAGAAGAAUAAUUAUCAAUUCCUGUAGAACAUCUUUUCUGAGAAGACUUAUGUUAUAUGUCUUCUACAGUUAUUGCUCAAUAAAGGGAGAUGCCAAGCUUUGAUAAAUAACAUGAUUACAAAGAAAAAAAAAGGGAGGGGGGUUGAGGAGAAGGGGAAUAAAGUUCUGAGAAGAAAAAAAAAAAACUCAUCUAAUUUUAGGUUGUCAACAAGCAUUUAAUUAAGCAUCGCAAUUUUAAAAAUAAGCUCCAAAGAUUUGAUAUUGUAUGGAAGUAACAAAAGAAGGGGAAAAAGGAAUUAAGCUUCAGUCACACUAUGAUCACUUAAAGGACAUGUGGUGAUGGUUCAGCAUCACCAACUGAUCCAUCUUUUAAGACAAUAUGUUAUCCUAGCCAACUCUAAAAAAGGUGCCUUCAAUAGAAUAUGUAUUCCACACACUUCUUAGACUACUACAUUUAUAAAGUAGAAAAUGGUCAAGAAGUUGAUUCUCCUGCCCCUAAACAAAUAAAAAAAAAUAUGAAAUGAAGCAUUUGGUCCAAAAAUGGAAGUUCUAUCACCAAGAAUUAUAAGCAGCAAGGGAUAUACCAAGGGUGUAUAAAGGCAGAAGUUUAAGUGCCUCAGGAAGAAUUAGUUGUCCAGAUGAUGAUACUGUUGCACAAAAUUUACGAUAUGAAUGCAGAAUGUUAAUGCAAAGGUUCGUCACUUGCUCCCUAACUUGUGAGAGUGGUGUUGAAGGAAUUUCACUUGCCGCUGCACAGGUUCACAUAAAAAUUAGAAUUAUGAACUAUGUAUUGUAUUCUGAAAUUACAGAAGAAAGAAGAUAUCAUUCCCACUUGCAUUGGAUGUUGAAUGAGAAAAUUAAUCAUCAUAAACUGGGUAAAUGCACAUCAUAAAGGCAGUAAGAUCCACAGAGCAAGGGCAGAAAUACAACAUAGAAUCAGAUACCUUGCUUCAGAAAACAUGCAAAUUGAGUAUCCAAGUCGGCUGAGCGGAACAAAUUACUUAGCAUACUUGUACAUGGUAGAGAGAGAGUAGUAACUCGAAUUCUUCUCUGGCCAUAAACAGUGGUGUAAAGAAGGGCACACUGGACAAAGACAAACAUAAUAUAAUUAAACGGUUAAGAGUGAUAAUUUACUCUAUACUAACUAGCUUAACAAGGUAAUAAGCAACAUGAGGAUUCAAAACUUGGCAGUGAUUGCAGAGAAAAGUAGUUUGUACCUGAAAAGCACAUUCGGAGCCAUCCUGCAACUUAUCGUCAUGUUUUAAUGUUACCAUGAUAGCUUUGUCACAGUCAAUCUGCACAACAGGAAGGCUCAGUUAGAGACAUCACAAAUCUAUACUAAAAUAAACAAGCAAACUCCAAUUUUUCAAAUCAAAUAAAUUAGUAGCAAUAGGAGAAGAAAACAAGAAAAUGGAAGAAGAGAGCAAAGGUAACACAGAAACAAUUAAGUCAACACCAGGACUGUUCUCAAAAAGCAUCCAUAAAGCAUUACAACAAAGAAAAUGUCAUCUGUACUGAUCUCUGAUUGAAAUUUUCAUUUUGAUAGGCUGCCCCUACUUGAAAUUGAGCUAUGCAAGGGAGAAAAUUUUAAUAUACAAGAAUAGUCAUGAAAUCAAUCAAAUGACCAAUAAACUAGGAUUCAGACAUUUCUGCAGCAAAUCAACCAAAGUUAACCACCAUAACAAACUAAACAUUCCCAACAACUAACCAUUCAGUGGAUCACCUAAAGAAGACACAAAAGGACAAAGCUAAACUACAAGUAGUAUACAUAUUAUCUUAACUUGAAUGACGCAGAAACUUCUUCAAUAAAAUCAGCGAUUGUGGACAUAAACUUCUUUGACAAAAGCACUAAGAAAAAGUUUUAGUCUACAAUGGCAUUAGGGCCAUCAUUUUUGGCUUGAGAUUUGGUCUAGCAAAAUUUUGAGACUACUCAAAUGGAAAACCACAGAUGGUAAUCAAAACAUGUAUCAUAUUGUAUCCUAACUCUCUGUCUUGAAUCAUGUUGUGUAUCAUUUGUAUCAUAUUGUACUGAUUUCUCUAUAUUCUGUAUCAUGCAUUGUGUUGCAUAGAUUGAGAAAUUUUUUAUAGGAUAUUGCUUUAGGUUAAUACUCUAAUGAUUUCACACAGUCAACAUAUCAUUCCAAUCAUACUUUAAAGUAAUAUUCUAAUGUUUUUUAUAAAUUUUGGCAAACUGUGAAUGCAUCAUAUAGGUCACACUAAUACAUUUCGUAAGUGUAUUAUAUCUAAUAUAUUAUUAUAUUGGGUUAAUUUCAUUCACCUCCCAUGAGGUUUGGGCUAAAUACACCUAGCCACCAUUAGUUUGAAAUUUUAUCGAAUACCUCCCUUAUUUUUAAAUCAAAUGGGAGGUGAGUGAAAUUUACCUUUAUUGCGUAUUAUGGGAUAAAAAAUAAAAGGAAAAAAAGAAAGAAACAGUGUGUCUUAGCAAGUAGCACACAUUGCUUCUUGUGUCCAUGCCUCGAAUGUCAUAUAAUACUAAAACCCAUGAAAUGGUGGGAAUAAGGUUACAUAGCUCAAUAAUAAAACGCCAGCUAACAAAUUCCCCUCAAAUUAUAUUAGAAAAUAAAACCAUGAUCACACUCUAAGUCUGGCUAACAUUACACUAUGGUUCAAUAAAACUCAACUAUGAAAAAGAAUGAAAAGCACCACUAGGUUGCAUAAGAAUAACCAAAUAUUCUGUAAGAGAUAUACAAACCCCAGGUAAGUCAACAUCUGUUGGAAUGCGUCUGCAAAAGUUUCCAGAGUACUCUUGAACUUGAAGACCCUGUAAAAGAUGGAAAAGAAAUUAAUUUGUAUAGCACAGAUUAAAGAUAAAAAAAGCUAAUUAUCAUACAAAAGAAAGGAAUCAAGCAACUAAAGUUCAUACAACAAAAGAAAUUACCUGGCUGCAUCUGACACGCAUCACUGCCUCAAAACCUUGGGGCUUUGUGAUGUUCCAUCUAAGGUCAUUGUAAAGCUUAGCAGGAUCAGAAAGGGCUGAGAAGGGGUAAUAAUAAUACACCUGAAAGUGAGGGCAACAGUUUGCAUUAACCUCUUAUUUUUGAGAGCAAGUUCUAAAAAUGGAGCAAGUCUUGAAAAUAGAACCUUACGACCAUAAAAGAUUAAGUCUUGGUUUGGAUAUAUCCAAGUUCUAUAAAAUUGGAAUGUUGAAAAUUUGGCAUCUGAUUGUACAAUUUCACCCAUGGAUGGAUGAUAAAGAGCCACAAAAAAAAAAAAAAAAAAGAAAUGGAGAGAAAAGUAUACACAACUCCAAUUGGAUUGGUUUGGGAGGAUUACCAGUGUUUGGAGCAAACAUGACCUGUGAAGAAUCCCCAUGUGUUUUAAGAAAACUGUCAUUAACAUUCUCAUACAAGAUAGAAUAGAGUACUUCUCGCCUCUUUACAAAUAUCUUAACUUUGGCAAAAUAUGUUGCCUUUUUCCACAAGAACGUAUUUCAGCACCAAUUCAAUGCCAAAAGGGCCCUCAAAGUGGCAAUUCAAGUGUGUGUGUGUACACAAAUAUAUAUAUAUAUAUAUAUAUAUAUAUAUAUAUAUAUAUAUAUAUAUAUAUAGAGAGAGAGAGAGAGAGAGAGAGAGAGAGAGAGAGAGAUGAUGAUUUUUUUUUUUUUUUUUUUGAUAAAUAAAAGAAGGCAUUAAAAGAGCAAUUAACGCAAGAGAGUACACAGGACAUACACAAUGAGUGUCAAGAGGCAAAACAAAAAAGAGGGAAAAAAAAAAAACUACUCCCUCCCUCAACAAGAACCCAACCAAUCUACAAAGGCAAGAAUUAAGAUAUGAUAGAAGUUGAGAGCAAGAUAGUGCACAAGAAAAUUGCAAACCACAAAUUGAGUUAUGAGACAAAAGUCCAGAGCAGGAUAGCACAUACAGAAGAUGGAAACCACAAAACUAGGGAAUGCUGGAGGAAGAAAAGGAUUUGGAGCCAAAGGACUAGGGAUGUGCAAGUGAAUGCAAAUGUUUUCCCCUUUUAUGGAGUUCAUGGCCAAAUUCCACCUAUAUGUGAUUUGAAAUAUCAAAAAGAGAUGUUUUACUUUAGAUGUUUUACUUUUUUUCCUUCAAAUACUCAAAAUUAGGAAUCCACACAUCUAGGACACAACCUCCAUGAACUUCUUUUAAUAUUAAGGUUUAUCAUUCCUUUGAUGUCCAGCAGAGUAUAAACAGGCAAGGAAGGAUGCAAAUUGCUUGUGGCCUUGAGAUAGGUGAAAGGACAUCCAGGCCAGAGAAAGUGAAAUAGGACAGGCAGAUCAUAAAUGCAAACUUGAUGUUCAAUGUCAUCAUGUAGUUUGGAAAACCAUGUAUGCAUCUAGAAAAGAAGUUUACAACGUUUAAAGGGCACAUACUUCCCCAAAAUCACAUUUUCAAGAAGAAAACAGUGCUAAGUUACCAUGAUCUAUGUUGCAUGUUUUGACUAUAUCCAGUUCUGAAACAGACUGGGCUACUCCAGCAUUCAGUGAGCUAACUAGGAAUAGGUUUUCAGUUCUGCAGGUAUUAUAAUUGGUAUAUUCCAUCUUGCUGACCCUUCUAAGAAAUUGUGCAAAAAAAUUGAUGCUUUGCAUACAUUCAGCAAUUGAGUUGCACCUCCCCUUUUUUCCUUAGGUGCCUGUUUGAUACAUAUUCUUUGCAUAUCAAAGAAAGACAAAUAAAAAAUUGUGUAACAGAGUAAAACAGAACGAUUACAAUUAUCUGUCCUGCUUUUGUCAACACAUAUCUGAAAUAUACACUUUCAAGAAACAAAAUAGACAGCUGUAACUAGCUAGCACUCAAGAUCUGUUAAAAUAUGGGACCAUCAAGUACCCACAGUUACAUCAACUUAUUUGACAACACAGUAUGGCAUAAGAUAUGAGUCACUCAACGGUACCUGUCCUCCUGUAGUUCUUGGGAUGACAGCAAUAGAUGCAAUAUCUACAUAGGUUUGGGUAGUAAUAAAAACAUCAACACAGACCUGAAAAAAGUUUAAGAUAUAAAGAUUUACAUAAAUCUAUGAGUACUCAAAUCAUAACCCAAUCAGAAUCAUAAUAAAACUAAUUGCUUUACCUGAUACUCAGCAAAUUCAAUUGCCAUUGUUUUCAGAGUUUUGUCUGCUGGUUGGAGUAAUUUAUGGGCCUCCUGAAAUAAAGUAAUAAACAAAAAACUUCAUUCUGAAACCACAAUAUAAAAUUUUCAUUAUACCAAAUGAUUUAUGUUGAAAGAGACAAAUGAACCCACAAAACUUGAUAGGAAACUGAGAACUAUCACAGUGGAGGCAAAAGAACAAGAAGAACCAACUGAACAAUUGAUUAUAGAGAUUAAAAAUAUAAAAUUUAAUAACACACACACAUAUAUUCAGGGAAAAACACAACAUGAUAACAUAACGAAUAUAUCAUGCCCCUCCAUGUGCUAAGCAAAUUGACAUGAAACUGCAACAACUGAAAACAAGGGCAAAAAUUAAACCUGAUAAUUAUAGAAGAUACACAUAAAACUAGAAAAAAGGAAUGGACAGAAGAAGUUUGUGGAAAUUAAAACCAUUGCCUCCCAAAAAACAGAACAAUAUUAGAUAAGAAGGAAAAUCACUUUUUAUUUACGAAAUUUAGGGUAGUUAGAUCCAUCCAGGGUAUUUACAAAGUUUAUACUUCAUUACAAUGAAGUAACUAAGUCCUUUGAGAAGAACAUUUCAUGAGGACCAAUCUAGUAUAGCAGUUCUCUUCCUUAGAUGUGCACAAAUUAGGGUAUAGGGACUGAUGUGUAGGCAAAUGACCAUCUCAUGCAGUAAAAUGAGGAUUGGUGCAGUUUCAUAAUUCCCAACGGAAACAGAUGGGAGGAGGGACUGAUUAUACAAGAAAUGCAUACCUUCUCCCCUGCAGUGAUAUUAGUUCUUCCUUCAGCCUCUCUGGCAGAAAGGGCUCCGAUGCCAACUGAAGGCAAGACUGUACACAACAUAGUGGUAUAAUCAUCAGAAUACUUCAAUAAAUAAAUUUCAAUAGCAUACUAUGGAGCUAAAAGAUGAAAUAAAAGAGAACAGACAAAUUCAUUUGAAAUGCUAGCUUUAACAUAAUACCGUGAAAAAACAUGUCAAAAUUCAAGAUGAUGUUGUUUAGGUUCUUAAAUUCCGAAGGACCCUUGGUGAUUGGGAUGUGGAAAGUAUUUGAGUUUAGGGAAUCUAGUAAGAAUAUGUUACAAAUAAAUAACUCAAAAUACUGCAAAGAAGAAACUGUAGAAUUAGUAUGAACUAUUCAAAUGACAGCAACUUUUGUUGCAUUAAAUAAAAUCCAAAACACGGGUAAUGAUAAUAUCCUCAAAACAACAUCAUUAUUAAAGUUUGAAAUGAAUGACAUUGCUAAUCAGCUUAUCUACCAAUAUGGAUUUCCUAGAUCAAUUUAAACCUGUGAUGUUGGUGUAUUCAAUAAUAUUUUAUUUCAUAUUAAUCCCAUGGCUUAAAUUUCCAGAAGAUGAUCUAUUAUUAAGAGAACAAUAUACGACGCAUCUAAGUUGAAUCUAUUCCUUUCAUCUAGAAAUUUUUAGCAAGUCUGACCUUUCUUGGUUAUGCAAUCCUUUUAGUAUCAUACAUACAUACAUACAUGCAUGCAUGCACACACACAUACACAUGCUGUUUUAUAAUUCCAAAAGAAUGUCUAGAUCAAUAUUUGAAAGAUAUGAUUUGAUGAUCUCUUCACCAUCAAAUUCCCAUUGGUUUCUUGGUUCUAAGGUUAAAAGCAACUAAUCAGAAGUAUAAAAAACAGAGAUUGGUGUGAAGGACUGUGAGAAUAGUCUAAGGUUGUGAAGGACUGUGAGAAUAGUCAGUGUCAAGGCAUUCUUAGGUCAGAUGCUUCUCUAUAAAUAUUUAUCUGUGUGUGUUCAUAUACACACUAUUUUCCAAUUCCAAAACAAUGCCUAGUUCUUCUACAUUGGAAGAUAUGAUUUGGUGAUCUGUUCACCAACAGAUUGCCAUUAGGGAUCUUGGCUGUAAAGUUCAAAGCAAUUCAUUAACAAGACAACCAACAACAGAAAUGGUGCAGAGCUAUGCAAAGUCUUUUUGUAAGCCAUUGUCUCCAGGAGGAUCAAACACCUUUCUGACAAAGAAGUUUCAGGUUCCAGGGCCCUUUGAAGGUCAGUCUCCUAGCUUUCUGUAGAGAGGAGGAGAGGUGGAUUGGGGUGGUGGGUGGGUUUGGAAGAAGAUUUUGAUGACUAGUCCAAUUCCAAGGGAGUUGGCAAUUGGCUAAUUGGUACUGUUCGUAUAUAUGGAGGAGUCAGCCAACCACAUUUCUCAUCCAUUAUUAAAGGGCCUACAACUUAUGUUUAGUAGGCAUGACAGUUUUUUCAGCAAAAGGCACUUAAUGACACGGAGGACAACAUUUUCAUGUUUGAUGUGGGACUUGUGGAAAGCAGAACAGAAGGAUUUUUUAAGAUUAUACAAACACUAAAGCCCGCCAAGGUGGCCCAGUUGGUUAGGGUGAAUGCUAAGAUGUGUGGUAGAGGCGUGCGGUUCUGGGUUUGAAUCCUGCCACUGGUUAAAUACCUUAAUUUACAUGGUGUUGGUUGUUGGCGCAGUCAGUACCCUAAGAUUUGGGUCCCCAUAGAAAGUCCUAAGGGCUUGGCCAUAGAAGGUUCUUUAGUUAUAAAAAAUAAAGGUUCUAAGCAGGCCUUUAAAAAAGUCUAAAUUCUUUGUUUGCAUGGUCCAUGGAUUCAUUGAAGGUGGAAAAGAUUCCUUUUCUCAAUUUUCCCGAGUUCGUUCUGCCUUGUGAAGUUCUUUGUAUACUUUCUAGGCAUUAUGGUUGCUCACCCUAGACAUAUUUUAGUUUAUACCUCUUGCCUAUGAAUUAGGAGGGAAGACAGCAACAACAGAGAUUGAACCCCUUCGAAAUUUUCCCCCAAGACCAUCCAUCAACAUGAUCUUUGUGUAUCUGAUUCAGCAUACGACUGCAACAUCAGAAUGUGAUAGGCACCUAAUUGAAACAUAUGAUGUUUGCAGCUACAGACCUAAUGAAGUUAGAUAGAAAACUUCAAUGUCUGAUAAAAAAGACAACUAGAGAUGUAACCGAUACGAAUUCAUCAACACAAAAUAAGUAUGGCAUACAAGUUUAUGAUUUAAUUACACAAGACAGAUUUAAUAGAAGUUUGCAAGCUUGCCUGACUGAAACACCAGAAGUUUUCCUCCAGUACUCUUCAUCGCUAAGAAAGCAGCCUGAAGUAUGAACAGAAUAAUGUGACUAUCAAAAAACAUGUAUGAAUAUUUAAAUAUCCAUCAACCUAUAUGCACGUGUGAACAAGAUAUACUGACAAAGUUUCACAAUUUUCACUGCACUGGCUGACAUCUACAGACUACAGCAAGAAGAAACUCAUGUAAUCAAAUGAAUGCAAAGAAAUACGUUUUAUUUAUCAAGUUCAUUUUCAUCAGAUAAUAAUAAACCUCAGAAACUAUCAUUUUAGCAUUUUUCACUGCACCAAGCACCAUACACCGCAUUACUGCCUUCAUCUCAGCUCAUUUUUUAAAGCUCAUUGUGUUAAAACUGAGGUCAAUCCAUAAAAAAUAAUCAUCAAAUCGAGCUAUCUGGGCCUUUGAAACCAUCAAUUUUCAAAUGCUCAUGUACAUCUAAUAUACUAACUUGCACAGCAAUUCUUUUCUUUUUCAUAGGAAAAGCCAAUAUGUUUGAAGGCGCUCAAAGAUAAGGAGAAUGGUACCCAAGUACAAAGUAAGUAAACUCAAAGAUUGAUUUGAAUUAGUUGUGUUAGAAGAAUUUUAUACUUUCAUUAGGUUUUUAUUUUCUUCUUUCUUUUUUUUUUUCUUUUUUUUUUUUUUUUUUUUUAAGAUUUCAUUUUUCCACAUAUUGGCUUACUAGGAUUUCCUGACUUGAGUUGGACCCACCAGAUAUAAGAAGUGUUACACAAUGCAUUUCCUAGAUAGCAAGGAAUAGCUAAAAAAAAGGUUCAUAAAGCUAACUCGAAGCAGUUGGACCAAGGAACAAAAUAUUGAUAUUAACAAGAAUGGUAAGGUUCAAAUUCAUAGUGGAAAUAUCAAUAUAACUAUAGGGAUUCCCAAAGAUACUCUGGCAUAUCUUAAAUACUUUAUUGACGUUGACAAGUAUCCAACAAGAUGGUAUGCAGCAAGGUUCAAAGUCAUGGUAUCGAUCAUUGAUUUAGAAAGUUCUAAGGCACAUUGGUCUUGACAUCUCAAAUCGAUAUUGGGCAAUAUGCAAAAUAUACCAUUUAAAAGAUCAAAAAAGUUCUAAAAAGAGUUACGAAAAUUAUCACAAAAAUAAAUACAAUUAGAUAGACAAAAUUUAAUAAGAUAAAUUCCUCUUAUAUGUAACAUUAUUCAAAUGGUAAUAGCAGAAUGCCUUGGAAUGAUCUAUAACAAUAUUAAGAAUUUCAAACUUUUUUAUUUAGUAACCUCAUGCUAAAUAUUUUUUUUUCUUAUCUUCAAAAAAUAAAAGAUGUAAAUAAUAAAAAGGAAUUUGUUUUCUAUAUAAGAAAUUCAUUUAAAAUAAGUAUUUUCAAAAUUUUAACAUACAUUUUCAACCAUUAAAAAAUACAACCAUUUUAAAACCAUGAAUCAUCUUUAAAAAAAUAAACUUUAUUUUUCUUAUCAACUAUAUUCAAAAUAAAACAACUAUAAAAUUAAGAAUUUUAUUAAUUUUAUUUUUAUUUGAAUAAACAUAAAAAUUUAAUAUAUUUUUUAAUACCUCAAUCCAUUAAUUGCCAAUUUCUAUAUCAAUAUUCAUACCCUAUUUUUUUCAUAUAAACCAAGACAUCCAUUAUCCAUUUUAUUUAGUCUCAAUUUCCAUCAAAUUGACAUUAUCCAUUAAAUCAUAAAUACCUUCAAAUACUAAUUAUCCAAAAAUAAAUAUCCAUCGUCCAUACCCAAAUUCCUAUCAAAUACCCCUUACCAUUUAAACCCAAAUACCCAUCAAAUACUUGUUACCAUUUAAACUCAAAUAGCCCAUCAAAUACCCAUCCCCAUUAUCUGCACAAAUAGCCAUUUUCACUUCCAAAUACGCUCAAUUUCCUCUCUAAGGUCUGAAAGCUCUUCAGUGAAGAUGAAUCAGCCAUGAAGAUGCAAAAGCUCAAGUCUAAAUUGAAGGAUAAAGAUGCAAACAAAGGGUACCAAACGUACUCUCUCUCCUUCCAAUCUUCAUUUUCAUGGCUUUUGAUCUUCUCCUCUUCUUCACCGUUUAUUUCUCCAGGAGCACUGACAUCAUUGUCUUCUCCAUUGCCCAAAUAGCUCAGUCUUUGCAUCAUCUCAGAGUGCUCUCCCAAUCUUCAAGGGAAUCGUGCCAAGACUACUGAUAUUGAACUAAGUUAUCAGUCCAAUACCAAGCAUGGCCUAGGCAGAUACAAUGAUACGACUCAACUGAGUCGCACCAGUUUGUACAGAGAUUUGUGCACCUUGGUAUAUGGUUCAGUUGCAUUUUAUGUGAGUGUGUGAUUAUCAUUAAAUGCCAAAUCUGGUUUACACCCCAUGAUACAUUUUUAAGACAUUUCUAUACCCAAAAUGAUAUGUUUCACAUUUUAAUUUGCAUUGCAUGCAUCAUGCACCACUAGAAUAUAUAAUUACCUACUACAGAAUAGCAUACCUGGAUUGCUGCACCGAAGGCUGAUUCAGCAGUUCUAUUAUUCUGAAACAUGGUUGGUAUGUUUUCCAGUAACAGCUCUAAAUGUUGACGACACUAAAUCCUCAAAACAAAACAACAAAUUUAAUUAGAACCAUUUGCAGUUUCCUUAAAAAAAGAAAUGGACUAUUGGAUAGAGUUCUAUUUUCUGUUUAUUGUUUUUAAAAACAGAAUUUAAGAAAAUCUUAAAGAACCUUGUUUGGUUGUUACAUUUUCACUUUUUAUUUGUCAAACUCAGCAACAUUAUGUUGGAUUAUGGUGUUUUCUCAUAUUUGGCAGAGAGAGAGAGAGAGAGAGAGAGAGAGAGAGAGAUUUCAAAAAAGAAAAAGUGAUUGUCACACAUGUUUUUUCGACAUUAUAAAAGACAAUUUUAUACAAUUUCUUAAAAUUUUCCUGUCAUGAGAUGAUGAAAUGUGCGUGCUUGUCUUUUGUUUUGCAAGUACAGUUAAUAAGUGGUACUGCCUUGCCUGUUUCAAAAUUUUGAAAUUAUAAUAGAAAAUGUUCUAAUAAAAAUAUAUAAAAUAAAAAGCGUUUGUGCUUUCUGUUUCAGAAACAGCAAAAAACAAAUGUUCAUCCAAUGGCAAUUAUUCAUAAGUGUGUGCUAAAACAUAGUCUAAUACACUUGAAACAUAUAUAUUUUAAAAAGAAUUGAAAAAUUUGCAGUCUAAAGUAAAGCUAACCUCGGAAAGCUGAACAAUUACAUCAGUCUGGAGGGGAGUGUAAACAUCUUGUACAUCAGGAACAAUGAGCAUUAGAGGCUGCAAACAUACAUUGGAACACAAAUUGAUCAGAAAAUUUUUGAAUGCUUGUGUCGUUCAAUCACAGAACAUUAAUGUUAAGUUAUAAUCAAAUCAUUAAAUUGCUAAAGAUGGGAUCAUUAAAAUGACAAUUUUUGAACUACCCACAAAUACAACUUAAAAAUGACACAAAAUUAAUAGUUCUGGAUUGAAGAGAACAGUGUCCGUGCCAUAUUCAUACUUUGUUAAAUGGGUUGUAUUUGAGUUGAAGUCAUCAAUCCAAACACAACCCUUGACCUGAUUAACUUAUCGUGCCGUGUUAACAAUCAUGAUUGGAUCUAUAUAUAACCCAUCUAAUUAUCAUGUCAUGUUAACACAAAUAUGACCCAACCUAUAUAUGACCAACUUAUUUGCAUAGUUGUAGAUUUUAAUUUUUUUUUUUUCUUUUCAAAAAAUAGAACAGGGCUUUUAUUAAUUUAUAAACUGUCAGAUUUUCAAUAAAUCAUUUAAAAAAAUAAGUUAAUUUAUAAUUUAUGUAAAUUAGAAGUCUUUAAUAUAUUGAGUCAUAAUUGUGUUAGGGUAAUAUAUGGGCAAAUGAAUUAUGUGUGCCAAUUUCAUGUUAAUUUAGUAUAACUCAAUUCAAUCCAAUUCAACAUAUUUACUAACUGGGUCACACAGUAACAUUGUGUUACCUAUAUAAUAGACAAGUCCACGACCAUUAAACAAGUUGUGUUCGCAUUGAGCAAAUUUUAUCAUUUUUUAGCUCAAUACAAUAUGAACCCAACACAACACAAUUGCCAACUCUACCCCUAACAUCAUUGUCACCUCUAUUUUUAGAAAUCAACAACAUUAAUCCUUACUUGAAGCUACACACUUACAACCAUAGAGGGAAGCACCUUGAGCCAAUUCUCAAGACAAUAGGAACAUUUGUGUCCCCUCAACCCUCGAAAACCUAAUGACAAAGGAGGAUAUAAAAGACAUAGGUGAAGCCUAUCAAAAAUAAAUAAAUAAAAGACAUAGGUGAAAUGACAGCAAGAAAUUGCUCCCCCUAAGCAUCCAAAUAUAUAACCUCUGGAUACUUAACCUGGAGAAGAACUGAAAGAUUUUGAAGAGGUAAGGCCCUUCCCCUGUCCACAGACCAUCACCCCUUGUCAGGGGAGGAACACUGGCUAUCCUAAUGUUAGAUUAUCGUAUUAUCAUCCUUGACAUAUUUUUACACAUAGCAUGAUCAGACACCAAACUUCCCUGUCAGAAAUCAGCAUCCCAUUGAUGAUACCAAUAAUUUGUGAUUGCUGAAGAGUGUACAGAUGCAUGACACAACUAACCAGCAACCAAAAACUAGAACAGAAUUAGCAUGAAUUCACUUCUUAAUUAUUCAAUAAAUUUUCCCUUAUUUAUCAAAGCCAUAAUCUGAUUCAAUUGCAACUUGACGUUUUACCUGCUGUAAUGCACGUUUCAGAUUAUAAAAAUGGAUUGUAGAAUCAAAUGUUGCUAUUCCCACCAUUGUUCGAGGACCUUCCUGCAAUAAAAAAAGUAAUAAAUAUGUCAGCCAUCAAAACUCCCUUCUAUUUUACAUAUGUACAAGUAUAUAACCCCUAGAUACAGCACAGUAAUGGACCAGCCAUAGGUACAGUUGCAUGUCGUUUCAUCAAUACCAUGAAAGGAUGAAAAAAACAUACAAAACAUACCCAUCCAUAUUGAAGACAGCCUCUCAAGAUACCUGUUUGGCUAGGUUUUCAUCUGUACUCUUUAGAACAAACUGGAUUAUAAAUACCUCCAUCAAUUUGGAAGUUCCCUAAGAACUAAGAAGAGAUGUAUGCACCUCAAGAAUUGGGGGUCUUCCACAAUCAACCCUCAAUGCACCUUAAAACUGUUUUCUUCAUGUGCUCAAUUUCAUUACUGAAACAAUUGAGCAAAGGAAUGAAAGCUCGUAAACAAAGUAACAAGCUAUAAAAAGAUGCGACAUUUUUUUAUCAAAAACAAAAAAUGUACUAAUUAAGAUAAAUGAAACAUGAGAAGAUUUCCUUUAGAAUGUAACAGUGCCUCAAGGUUGAAUGUUCCAAAGAGGAGAUUUUCUGAUAUCAUUAAUGAGUUAGAGCUAAGGGAUCUCCCACCGGGAGGGGGUCCAUUUACUUGGUGUGGAGGGCAAAAAAAAAAUCUCUUUGUCUAGAUUAGAUCAAGGGAGGGAAAGUCACUUUAGAGGGGUGAUCCAAAGGGUUCUGCCAAACCCUUCCAUCCGAAGAAGGGGAUUGGAGGCCUGGAGUUGUUGCUUUGGCCUUUUGAGUUAUUGGAGGGUGAGGCCAAGAAGUUAGAGGGGGUCUUCUCAAAGGAUGAGGUGUUGGGUCAGAGCCGAAUGGUGACAAAGCUCCAGGUCCAAGCGGUUUUUUGAUGGCCUUUUGGCAUUUCAUUUGGGAGUUUGUAAAAACCGAAGUGCUAAAAUUUUUAAAUGAGUUCCAUGAGCAUGGUAGGUUUUUUUGAAGCCUAAAUGCAACUUUUCUGGUGCUUAAACCAAAGAAGAAUGGUGCAAAUGAGCUUAAAGAUUUUAGGCCAAUAAGUUUGGUAGGAAGCCUUUAUAAGUUGUGGCCAAAAGUGUUGGCCAAUAGACUAAAGAGAGUGGUUGGUAAAGUGGUUUCCAAGUUUCAGUAUCCCUUGUGGAGGGAAGACAAAUUUUGGAUGCAAUGUUGAUAGCAAAUGAGGUUGUUGACUCAAUGCUAAAAAAGAGGGCUUGUGGGUUGUGUAAACUCGACAUUGAGAAGGCUUAUGAUCAUGUGAAUUGAGGUUUUUUAGUAGCAAUUCUUGGCAAAAUGGGGUUUGGUCAAAAAUGGAUAUAAUGGAUUAAGCGGUGUAUCUCUUCAACCAGCCUCUUUGUUUUGGUUAAUGGAUCUCCUACUGGACUCUUACGAAGCUCUAAGGGAUUGAGACAAGGGGACCCUCUUUCCCCCUUUUUGUUUGUGACUGCUAUGGAAGGUCUCAAUAGAUUGCUUUUGAAAGCCUGGGAAUGUGGUUUUAUUUUGGGGUUCAAACUUGGGGGAAAAGGGGGUGGGGGUGAAGAAGUCUCUCACCUCCUUUUUGCUAAUGAUACAAUUGUUUUCGGUGAGGCCUCUCAAGAAUAGGUCACUCACUUAAGUUGGCUUCUCAUGUGAUUUGAGGCUAUUUUAGGGUUGAAGAUGAAUUUGGAAAAGAGUGAGAUGAUCUCAAUGGGGGAGGUGGACAAUUCAGAAGAGUUAACUUGUGAUAUUGGUUGCAAGGUGGGAAAACGGCCGACUUCUUACCUAGGGCUUCCCCUAGGGGCCCCGCACAAGUCUUUGGUGAUUUGGGAUGUGAUGGAAGAGACAACACCUCAAAAAAGGGAAGACCACUUUACUUUGUAAUACUCUAGCCAGCUUUCUAAUCUACUUUAUGUCACUGUUCACCAUCCCAAGAAUUGUUCGAUCAAGAUUAGAGCAGAUCUAAAGGGAUUUUCUAUAGGAAGGAUGGGCCUUAGAAAACGAAUUACACUUAGUGAAGUGGUCAACAGUUUGCAAAGCUAAAUUGAAAAGAGGCCUAGGUGUUCGUUCCCUUUCUUUGCUGAAUAAGGCCUUCCUUUGCAAGUGGUGUUGGCAGUUCUCCAAUGAAAAGGAGCCUUCGUGGAAGAAUAUCAUUAAGGGAAAGUUUGAGGAGGAAGAAAGGGGUUAUAGAUUGGGUGUAUUGAGAGAACCCUAUGGGGUUAGGGUUAGGAGAGCGAUAGGGAAGCAGUGGGAUAUGUUCAAUUCAAAGGCUUCCUUUGCAGUGGGAUAUGUUCAAUUCAAAGGCUUCCUUUGCAGUGGGAAGCAGGAGUAGGGUAAAAUUUUGGAAAGAUAGGUGGUACAACGAGGAGCCCCUAUGUGAGACCUUCCCGUCCUUGUUUGCCUUAUCUGAUUCGAAAGAGGCAUGGGUAGCUUAUUUGUGGGAGCAGAGAGGGAAAGGAGGUAGUUGGAACAUCCGUUUUGUAAAGAAUCUAAAUGAUUGGGAAUUGGUUGUUAUGGAGCAAUUCUUACUCAAACUCCAAGGACAAACAAUGAAAAGGGAGAAGGAGGACACAGUGGUUCGGAAAGGAGAUAGUAAAGGGGUCUUCUCUAUGAGAGAGCUUUAUUCUUUGCUGAAGACAGGGUGUGUCAUCCCUUUCCCUUUAAAGAUUAUUUGGAAGUCUUGGAUUCCUUCAAAUGUGAGUUUUUUCACUUGAGAGGCAUGUUGGGGAAAGGCGUUGACUUUGGAUCAACUACAAAGAAGAGGGUGGACGUUGGUCAAGGUGUUCCUUGUGCAAAGAGGAGUUAGAGUCUAUUGACCUUAUUCUCCUACAUGUGAUAUGGCGAGGAGUUUAUGGUAGUUGGUGUUCUCCAUUUUCGGUAUUCAGUGGAUUAUCUAAAAGUCGAUUAGGGAGACUCUCCUAGGGUAACAUGGCUCUUUUGUUGGCAAAAGGCAUAUUAAGACUUGGAGAGUUGCUCCUUCAUGUAUUUUUUGGACGAUCUGAAAGGAAAGGAAUAGAAGAUGUUUUGAAAGUGAGGAGUUGUCUUCUCAAAGGAUAAAAAAACAUCUUUCUUAACAACUUCUCUACGUGGGUUAAGGUGUACAUUGGUGGAGACUAUAUGCCUUUGGUUGAUUUCUUAGAUUGGUUGGGCAUUUGUUGAGGAAAGGAGUAUUUUUUUGUACCUUCUUUAUCGUUUUUUUGUGCUCUUUAUAUACUACCUGUGUACUUUUGUGCGCUCUUUACAUUUUUUAAUACUCUCUAUUUCUUAUUUAUAAAAUAAAUAAAAAAUAAAAAAUAAAAAACCUCUCCAAAUCAGUUAGGUUACAAUAGAAAAUAAGAUCCCAAAACAAAAAAGCAUCAUUACCUAAAAUAGCUUAAAUAGAUUGAUUUCUAUUUGUGGUGACUCUAAAAAGUCUUGGAAAUUGUGAACAUAAAGGUUGGUCCUCCCCACCAUAAAUUUUUCCAGAAAAAAAAUUCUGAUCUCAUCACCCACCACAAAGUCGAUGUGUGUAGAAAAGACUUGGAAAAUAAGUGCAAUGGUCUUCUAAGGGCAACGAUAUGACCAUCUAACUAUGUCAUUGGCAUCCCAACCAUUAGGAUGUAUCUCGUAGAUACUCAAAAUAACUUGAUGCAAAAGACUGAAACUGUCCUUAGGAUAUCUCGAAAGCCAUUUUUUUUUAAUAGGAAACAACAAUGAAUUAAAUUGAAUUAGAAAAUAAGAAAUACAAAAAAAAAAAAAAAAAAAAAAGAUGAGGAAUCCUCCCAUAAAUGAAAGCUAAACAAAUUGAAUACCAAGAGCAAAAAGCUAUGUAGUAAUUACAACAAACAACCUCUCCUAUACCCCCUGUAUACUUUGUGGCUUUUUGGCCCUUUUUAUAUAUCGUUGUUUAUCUAUCAAAAAAAAAAAACAACCUCUCCUAUAAAGGGGGGUGUGUUGAAUUUUCAGAAUCUAAAUAAUUUUUUUGUUUGUAAUUUAUGGAGCUGGGCUAGAUUGUAUAUAGGUGAGGAGACCCUAUCCCUUAUAGGCUUUUUGGAGUGGUUACCAUCCACUUAAGGAGUGGUGAGUCUCUCUUGGUUUUUUUUUUUUUUUUUUUUUAGAGGUCCUAGCCGCCUUGUAUAUCACAUGUAUGCUAUGUGGCUUUUUGCCUCUUCUUUAAUGAAUUUCUGAUUUACUUAUCAAAAAAAAAAAAAAGCAACCUCUCUUACUAACCCACACCCUUGGAGUUACACACCACUAGCCAAUCUAGUUGAACCAAAUUAAGGGGAAUGCCCUUGAAAGUUGAAAUGAAAGAAGCCCAAAAAGAUAUCUCCAAAGCCACUUACCUAAUAAAGCUUGAUUCCUCAGGGCAAUUUUCCCAAGUCCUAAACCACCAAACUCCUUAAGCCUACACAUUAGAUCCCACCCGACCAAAUGAUCCCUUUUACCCUCCCCAAAACCCAAUCAUAAGAAAUCUCUUUGCAUUUUUAAAAUCCUUGAAGCUAUUGAUGUUGGAAUCUGAAAAAGGGAUAAGAAGUGGCUUAGGAUGUGCGACAAACAAGACUAAAUUAAGGUAAUUCUACCUCCUGGGAACAAAAAGACUGGAUCCCAAAAUGAGCUUGAUUUUGGAUCCUCUCCCCACCCAAAAAAAAAAAAAAAGAGGAAGAUCCAAAUACAUUAUAGGUCAACAGAUAUUGCACAGUGAAGCAUCAAAGUCAUUCUAAAGGUUUGAUCUUGACUCAUGUUGAUUCCAGAAAGAGUGUUCUCAUUUAGAUUGAUUCUUAGCCCUAACAGGCGCCCAAAAACAAACAAAAUUAGCUUAAAAGUUUGUAGCUCUUCCAAGGAGGCUCUAGAAAAAAAGAUAGUGUCGUCAACAAAUUGUAAAUGAGACACUCUAGUCCUAUUUCUGCCCAUUAGAAACCCCUCAAAUAAGUCUCUCUCCUCCGCUCUCACUAUCAACCUACUUAAAACAUCAGCCACAAUGGUAAAAAGAAAAGAGGAUCUCCUUGUCUUAAGCCUUUAUGUACCUUAACCCAACCCUUGGCAUUUCCAUUCACUAAGACCACAAAAGUUGUUGAAGAUAAACAUCCCCUUAUCCAAGAUCUCCAUCUUGAACUGAAACCUUUUCUUUCAAGUACAUGGUCUAAAAAGCCCCAAUCAACAUGAUCAUAGGCCUUUUCAAAAUCAAUUUUGAAGACUACCCCUGCCUCUCUUGAUCUCCUUUUCUCAUACACCAACUCAUUUGCAAUUAAUAUAGCAUCCAAAAUUUGCCUCCCCUCAACAAAAGCUCCUUGAGACAUGAAAAUAGUAUCUUGGAGAACUUUAUACAACCGCCCUAGUAGUACCUCGGCUAUGAUCUUGUACAGACUGGUAACCAGAUUGAUAGUUCUAAAGUGUGAGAUUAUAUUGGUUUGACUCUUUUCUGGCACCAAAGCAAUGAAGGUAGCGUUGGUGCUUUCAAAUUGACUUUCUUUUCAUCCAUCUUUCACCAACCAAAUGGAGAAUAAGAGGGAAUAAAUGCCUCGAAGAAAAAGCAUUGGCCCAAAGGAAGAAGCAGAAUUCUCAGUAAAAUUAGUGGAUGUGAAUUCAAAGGCAGAAAACUAAAUCCAAGUUGAAUAUCUAAGGUUUAAAGUACUUGUAUGGACAUGAUAUGUAUAGACAAUAGAGAUGACAAAAGAGGUAGACAAAGGUACAUCCCUCCCUUUUACCACUAAGGUUGCUCCCCAAAUCUAAUCCAAUACCCAUUGCUCACAGCAAUUAGACAAAAGGAGACAACUCGUUACACCCUUUAGCAUUUCAAAUGAACUUCCAAGGUCUACAUUAGCUUUAUGCAUUUCAUUGCAUUCCAACCAUAAUUAUCUAGACCGUGAUUUCUUUGGAUCAUGGUAUGUUAAAACAAGUGUUGCUCUUUAGGGAAUCUCCAUAACCACUUCCUAGCAGGGGUUGUAGUCCUAGAGAUUACAUUACUGAAACCUAGUUAACCAACAGUACAAUAAAUCAUACUGCCCCCCUCCAUGUUUUUGUGGUAUACUAAAUCAAUUCAGGGUCCUUUUGUUUAACAAAUCCACUGUAUGAGUCAAGGGGAGAUGCAAAAUACGAUUUGAGUACUUGGCAGUGAAACAUAGGACCUGCUGUUCUAUCAGUUGUCUGCCCUGUAUGACUUCAAAAACCUAGCUUAUACUUCAUUCAGGAUAUUAGGACAAGAUGUUUCACCAUCUGUGCAGGUUUUUGGCUCCCAAGAGAGAGUAAUUGCUAGCCCUUCACCUUGCAAUUAACUCAAAUUGGUUUUCUUCCUUCAAUAAUGAAAUAAAUAACACCUUUCUGACAAUUACUUGAGUAGAAAAAAUAAAGGAUCCAAAAUAAAAAAUUGACAAUUUUAGAGCAAAAACACUAAAUAGAUGAUGGCUGUCUAACACACUUAUAAGAAAGCAAAAUCAAAUGGUACAAUUUCCGCAAACAUAUAUAGAACUCACAGGAAGAUCAGUGAUAACUUGAGUGAUUGCACUGCAAGCUGCUGCAGUUGCACCAGUCUGUAUUGCAUUCAUUGAUACAUCGAUCAGAAAGAAAAACACAGCAGGCAUUGGCUCACGCACCUGGAAAUAAGACAAAGCAUGCAAAGAAUUACUUAUCUUUAGACCCAAAAACCCCCAUACCAAAGAACAACUUCGAUGAAAGAACAGGAGGAAUGGUUUCCCAACAAAACAAUAGGCAGCCACUCUCAACCAGUUAAUACAACAUUAGGUAAGAUUAAAUGACCAUAUAACACAGAAUAUAAAAGUUAGGCUAUAGAUGUUCUUGUGAUAAUGAAUCCCCACAACAAGAUUUGAACACAAUAUAAACUUUCCACAAGUUAGAGAAAAUGUUCAAGGGGCUUCCCUUCCUAAAAAUAACUGGUUUUAAAUAGAAAAUCUAUGCAGCAUGUCACUGCCAAUAAGUUCAGUUCCAAAAAUAUUAUUCUUUUGGUUUCCAUUUCGAACUCUUUAACAGAGUACCGAUUUGCAUAUGGCUGACCCAAUAUAGCUUCCAAAAUAGGUGGAAGAGUUAAAAUAAACAGAAAAUGUCCUAUGACAGAAGAGCAAAAUAGAAAAUCAAUACCUCAAUUCAUUUUGGGCUAGUGAUAUCAUAUAAAGCAACCUUCAAUAAAUAACGAAAUGCAAAGAAAAAUCCAAGAGCAUAAGGCAGCAUGUUGCACCCAUUAUUUUGGACACUAAACAAUAGAAAACAGAAAACCAAAAACAUAGGCCAGCAUGUUGCACCAUUAUUUUGGACUCUCAUUACAGGCCAUAGCCUUAUCUCCAACCAACAGGAAGGAAAACCUUAACAUUUUCUUUAUUCUAUUCUUUUGUCCUUAAUAAUCUAAGUAAUGCAGAACAUUGCCCACUAAAUAGCAUUCUUGGUAUAUGUUAGUCUUUAUUCUAUCUUGAAUUGGCUUGUAACUGAGGAUUAUUCUCAUGUCUUAUUGCCAGUAUCAGUAAAGGGUUAAAGUUUGUCUGAUUUCUUUUAGAAAGGGGAACAUGAUCCUCAAGAAAAUGGCUCGUUUGUUGUGUUGUACUGCUGAAAAGAUCAUUGAUCACCUUCUAAUUCACUGCAUCAAGGCUAAGGUUUUGUGGGACUUGUUGUUUACCCUUUUUAGUGUGUCCUGGGUUCUUCAUUCGUCAGUUAAAGAGGUCCUUCUUGGGCGGCAUGGCUCGUUUGUGGGCAAGAAGAGAAGAAAGGUUUGGAGAGCAGCCCCUUUGUGUCUCUUUUGGACAGUUUGGAAGGAAAGAAAUAGGAUUGCUUUUGAAAAUCAGGAGUUCUCAAUUCAAAGGUUGAAAUAUUCUUUUGUUAGUAACUUUCGGUAGUGGGCUGAGUCGUGUAUAGAUGAAGGAUCUAAUUCUUUAAUCAACUUUUUUGAUUGGUUGGGCUCUAGUUGAGGGCGGGUGUGUUUUUUUAUCCCCUCUCUCUUUUGCUUUUGCCUUUAGGCACUUGUUGUAUACUUCCUAUAUGCUUUGGGUCAAUCGUUAGGCGCCCUCUUCUUAUUAAUAUAUACUUUUUCUGUGUCUUUGCCUAUCCAAAAAAAAAAAAAAAAUGAUCCUCAAGAAAAUGGUAUGGCCUAUAUUGCGCACCUAAAUUGAUAUGGGGAAUGGAUUUCACACAAUAUGAACACGUUGGCAUGCAAAAUCUUCAAAAUAAACAAACAAACAAAUAAAUAAAUAAAUAAAAAUAGAACAAAUAGGAGAAGGACACAAUUAUGCUUCAACCUCUACACUAAUUGGAAACCCCAAAUGUCCCAUUUGGAAUGAGUUCUGGGAAAUCAAAAGCUCUUUUUUAAGCCAAAUAAGAGCUUUUCUAUUUAAUUAGGUAAUUUUAUUUAUAGAAAUUUUUGCUUAAAUAUCAAUAAGGAAGCAAAAGAUUAACAAUGUGGAAGAGACAAUAUCUCUUUAAGGGCUGAAGGCUUACCUUGAUCAAAAGCACCCUAUCAAGUCUUCCGAUUUAUUUCAUGUCUCUUUUUAUCAUUCCUCGAAAAGUGCGUGCAAGACUCAAAAAGAUCCAAAGAGAAUAUUUAUGGGGCGGUGGUGCCUUAGAGAAAAGGCUUCAUUUGGUGAAUUGGAAAAUAGUUUGUGCUAAGAAGAAGGAGAGAGACCUAGGAAUUCGUAGUCCUGUGGCCCUUAACAAAGCUUUGCUUAGGAAGUGGAGUUGGAGAUUUUCUAAAGAAAAGGAGUCCCUUUGGAAACAAGUCAUCAUUGGCGAGUUUGGUUUAGAAGGAAGAGGGGUGAUGUUUGAGAGAAGUGAGAGGAGGCUAUGGUGUGGGGGUGUGGAAAACCAUUAGAAGUGAAUGGGAGGGCAUACGAUGUAGAUCUCGCUUCAUAGUAGGGAAUGAGAGGAGGGUUAAGUUUUGGAAGGACUUGUGGUGUGAGGACCAAAAGUUGAAAGAAGUUUUCCCUAAUUAAUUCCUUUUGGCAGUUGAUAAAGAUGGUUGGGUGUCAAAAGCUAGGGAGGAGGGUGGGGAGAUGGGUAGUUGGAGUCCUAGCUUCUCAAGACAUCUUAAUGAUUGGGAGAUGGGAGAAAUGGAGUCCUUUUUUUUAUAGAGACAAAAGCUUGUAUUAAGAAGCACCAAAAAAAGGGGGCGUACCCAACGUAUACAAGCAGUAUACACAAAAAAACCAACCCAAGCACCAAAAAAUAAAGAAAAAGCCUAGAAAAAAGCAAGGCUUUCCACAAUAGAGAGUCUCCAAAAAAUUCAAAUGAGAGGGGAUCACCACAUCCAAUAACUAUUUAGAUUGCUCCACAAAGGAUCUAAAAAAGAGAACCCUCAACCUUUGGUCCAACAAUUCUUCAUCUUCGAAGAUCCUUCGGUUGCGCUCUCCACAAAUACGCCAAAAUAAACAAAUUGGAACCAACCGUCAAAUUGCUCUCUUCUUCUUCCCUAGUACCUUGAAUUUCCAUUCUAAGAGAGGAUUUCUCACUGAAACCAGGAACACCCAAACCAAACCAUAAGUUGUUAACAGCACUGACCAAAGCAGUCUUGUCCUAUCACAAUGAAUCAAAAUAUGAUCAGACUCUUCACUAUUUUUACAAAGAGAGCAUCUAUUAACCAAGGGUCAUCCCCUCUUCAUCAACGUAUCUACAGUUAAUAUCUUCCCCCACAAUACUUCCCAAGCAAAAAAACGAGUUUUAAGAGGGGAACCUAAUCCCCAAACCUCUUUAGCUAGAAAUAAAAGAUUGUUCUCAGCCCUUAGAGAAUUAUAAUAAGACUUGACACUAUACUUUCCCCUCCCAUCAUUUUUCCAGAUUAAAGUGUUCUCCCCUUCAUGCACUUUUGAUGAAGAAAUGUGUUCAAAAAACAGAGACACCUCCUCUAGCUCCCAAUCUUAGAAGGGUCUUCUAAAAGAAACCUCCCAACAUCCACCUCCACCCCCUUCCCUUCCCCAUAAAUCUGCCACUAUUGCAUUCUUGUGGGAAGAAAGCUUGAAAAGAGUUAGGUAAACAUCCUUCCACUUAAUCUCCCCAACCCAAUUAUCCCACCAAAAUCUUGUGCAUCCACCAUUUCCAAUGCAGAUGCUGGUUCUAAGAAAGAAUUUUUCCCAGCCUUUUCUAUUGUCUUUCCAAAGACUUAGCCCAUAAGAAUCCCUCACCUCUCUAGUGGUCCAACCCCCCUCCACCUCCCCAAAUUUUCCACGAAUGACUUUCCUCCAAAAACUUAGCCCUUAAGAAAUGGAGUUCUUGUUUUGGAAACUUCAACUUUUGGUUGUGAGAAGAGAUGUGGAGGAUAUUUUGAGUUUGAGAGAGUAGGAAUGGCUACUUUUUUGUUAGUUUCCUUUACUAUUCCUACAUGAGGGCUUUUAGUGAUCUUUUCCCGUGGAGUAUUAUUUGGAGGUCUUAGGCUCUAGUGGUAAGUUUUUUUGCUUGGGAAGCGUCUUGAAACAAAAUUUUGACUAUCAACCAGCUGAAAAUGAGGGGAUGGAAUAUACCGAAUAGAUGCUACUUCUGCAAAGAAAAUGAGGAAACCAGUGACCAUCUAAUUCUAUUUUGUAACAAGGCUAAAAUGUUGUGGAAUUUGAUCUUCUCCCUUUUCGAUGUGUAGUGAGUUUUGCAUUCCUCUGUUAGGAGGAAUUUGCUUGGUUGGCACGGAGCUUUAGUGGGUAAAAGAAGGGAGAAGGCCUGGAGGGCUGCCCCUUUAUACUUAAUGUAGACUAUGGAAGGAAAGGAAUGGAAGAGCGUUCAAUGAUGUCAAAUGGUCCAACCAAGCUAUCAAAUAUUCUUUCUUGUGUACUUUUGUGAAUUGGGCUAGGGUGUAGAUAGAGGAUCACACUUUGUCUAUAAUUAACUUUAUAAAUGGGUUGUUUGUUAAGUGGAAGAAUUUCUUGUCUCCUUACUGCCUAGUUUUUUAGGCGUUUGUUUGUAUACUUUGUGUGUACUAUUUUCGCCAUUUUUAAGUGUUUCUAAUGCAAACCCUUAUUUACCUAUCCCAAAAAAAAAAAAAACUAAGGAAGCAAAAAAUAAAUGUUGCUUCUCAUGGAACCCUUUUUUAGCUUAUGCAAAAAACUUCAUACAUAAAAAACUUUAAUAAUAUCAGGAUCUAGCUAAAGCUAAAAGCAAAAAGCCUUUUUUUUAUAAGCAUGCAAUAUAUAAAUAUAUACAUAUAUAUAUGACUAAAAAUAUACAAAAAGAGUUACAACGGGGGCACGCCAAAGUACCCAAGGAGUAUACAAAGAACGCCAAGCAAAAAGAACAAAACAAAGAGACAGCUCCUUCAUUCUUCCACUUCAAACCCAACCAAUCAACAAAACAAAGAGACAUAGCUAUCUCCUUUAUACAAUGCCUAACACAUUCCAAAAAAUUGCAUAUAAAAAAGGAUUUGAGCAUUAUUAUCAAAAGCCCUUCAAUUUUGUUCCCGCCAAGUUGUCCAAAAUAAACACUAAAGGGCAAUCAUUCAUGCUCUCUUCUGCCUUUUCCCAACAUAGGAGUCAUUCCAACUAAACAACAUCGGUCUUGUUGAAGAGUGGAUCGCCCCAGCUAUCCCAAAAAUGGAAAAGACCAACUACAACAACAUACUUGCUAAGGUGCAAUGCAGAAGAAUAUGGUUAAUGGAUUCUUCUUCCCUUCACAAAUGUAACAUUUGUUCCCUACAAACACCCCUCUCCUUUUUAGAAAAUCCAAGGUCAAAAUCUUUCCCAACAUUACUUCCCAUGCAAAUAUUACAUGUGUUGGGAAAGGUUUUUGCAUGGAAAGUAAAAAGCUUCAACCAAGAACUUUCCACUUUUAGACUCCAACCAGGCUCCCAUCCUAGGUAGCCCGUCUCACCAUACGCUUUUGAAGAUCACUCCUAAAGGCCUCCACCAUCUCUAAUUCCCAAUUACAAAAUUGUCUUUAAAAGCAAGGGCCCCAAAGUCUCCUCUCCCCAACCUACUCCCAUGCAUCUACUGCCCACAAGUCUUUUAAAUCAACUCAUAUAAUAUAAGGAAGGAGUCUCUCAAAGAAGAGUCACCAUACUACCUAUCCAACCAAAACUUCCCUCUCCUUUCAUUGCCUAAAAUAAAGUGAACUCUACUUUUAAAAACCUCCCAUUAGUUUCUACUUGUCUUCCAUAAGCCUACACUAAAACCUUCCCUUAGCACACUAGAGCACCAUCCUCCCCCUUCUUCCCCAAACUUCCCAAUAAUAGCCCGCUUCAAUAGAGACUCUCUUUCUUAGGCAAGACUCCAACUCCACUUGCCCAAAAGAGCAGUGUUUAGAAGAGUAAGAUUUCUAAUACCAAGUCACCCUUUUUUCUUAGGCAUGCAUACCAUAGAUCAAUUGACCAAAUGAAGUUGAGCCUCAUUUGGAAAAAAAGGCUGCUUCCUGCUCCUUAGAAUCCCAUAAAGCAAUCUGCUUCAAAGCCACUCCUUUCCUAAAUGAAGCAUUCCCAAAUACCUCCUUAUUCCAAAAAUUUUAGGCCCUCAACUACUCCAGCUUCCAAGCCAACACAAAACUAGAAGAACCUUGACUCAAUAGCCUGUCCACCGGACUUUAAUCUACUCUCUGAAGCUUUUGCUCUAAGCCACAUAUUUUCAAACCUAAAAGGAGUUUUGUGUCCCCCCCCCCCCACCCAUUCUUCCCAUCUCCAUCUAACAAAAUUGGGGCAAGAUCAAACACUGACCCAGUCAGAAUGCUCUGUAAAAGAUCACCAAAAUGACUAUCCUAAUCUUUCAAAACAAGGAACCAAUCAAAUCUUGAAGCAAAUUGAUUAUUUAUACCUUCCCACCAGGUACAGGGUCCUCUAAUUAGAGUUAGAUCAUGCAAAUUAAGCUCCUCAGUUCUGUCCAAGAAACACCUCAUAGUAGAUGAACACUUGGGACACUUCCUCUUUUCCCUCAGAAUCUUAGCAUAUUGACAGCUUCAUGGACACACCAAGGAUCAGUUCAAAACCCUCAAAUGUCAGUCAAUUCUUCCCAAAAGUCCUCUCCCUGCCCCCUUAGAAAAGGCCCAUACACCUUAGUAAAAAUCCAUACAAAAUUAUCCUAAUAGCUCAUGAAUUGGCAAGAAAUGGAAAAGGCACACACCUCCAUCUCGAUAACCUCUAAAACCCAACUAUCCCAUAAAACAACUACUCCCCUAGCUUCCACCAAGCCCCACUCAAGGAAUCCAUUGACCCCUAGAAAGCCAAAAGCAAAAAGCUACCCCAAAACAAGGUUUUCUUAUUCACAAUUUUUACAAAUUAAAUUUUAUCUGAACAGUUUUAAUCUUUCCACACUAAGGAAAAAAAAAGCCAUCCUAGAAUGCGUCUACAAUAUAUCCCCACAGUUUCAGCCACAUGUCUGGAAUUAGACUUCUUUUAAAAAAUUUAGACAGGUGCAGUGUAGUGGGGUCAGUGUAGUUUGGUUUCAUUGGUUUCUACCCUCAAACUCUAUUUCCCAUGACUAUGGUUGGCAUUCAAUAAACCCCUACCUCCAACCCAACAGCGAGAAAAAUUCUCUUUUCACAUGAUAGAAAAAGACGAUGCUAAUUAAUAUAAAACCCACAAACUUAAAAAUUUAACUAACCAUGUAUUCCUUUGAAGCAACAAAUUCCACUGUUCCUCUACAUAGCUCAGGCCUUUCCUCAGCAUCUCUACGCCUGCCAUCUGGCCCCAAAUUGCAAUGGUAGUCACGAGGUGUUUCAUCAGUAAAUCCUGCAAAGAAAAUGGUAGGUAUCAUAAAAAUACAACCUUAAUAACUGUUGAGUAAGAGCUAAAAGUGCAAAUUAUUUUCAAGGAAAUGUUCUAAUGAUCCUAAUGAGUGAUAGGAUUUAUUUGAAAAUAUAGGGCUUUUUUUGUAUGUCAAUAACAAGGAACAUAGAAUUGGAAAAGCUCCACGCAAUUAUGGCAGUGUGCAUAUGACAAUAGGGAUCUAUGCAUUCUCAAAAGAAAUAACCAAGAUUUAGAGACAUUUCCAUAACACAUCACUACAAUUGAAUCAAGAUGACAAGUCCAAUAACUUUUUUAAGCAAAAUUUAACAAUGAUUGGUGAAUAGAUCACGGCUACUAAUCUUCAAAUAAAAAAUGUAACUAUAACAACGAAAGAAAAUCUUGACAACAAUAAAGCCUAAAUGUAAUAUAUUUCAGGAAACUUAAAAACAAUCAAAUAGAUUAAAUUACAAAAAUGGAAAUAAAAGAAAAAAAAAUUUCCAGAAUGGAUAAAAUAUAAAAGAAAUAAAUAAAUAGAAUACAGAAACAGCUUAUACUCACCACAUAAGUUACAGAUGAAACGCCUUCCCUGAUCAAUAAACUUCAUGAAGGGAUUAAUGUAACCUUUGCAACGGGAGCAUCGAACAGGACCACUUUCUCCAAAAUCCACAACCUAAAAGAAGAAAGUUAAUGUAAAAUGACUCAAAUGAGAACUACACUGCAUGAUUGAAUAUCUUAUUUUAUAUAGCCAAUGCAAUAAACUAUUGGGAUUUUAUCUUCCCAAUACAUUGUGCAUUUUUUGGCAAAUUCAGAACUACUUCCCACAAAAAGAGAAAAUUUCCCAUUUUCCUGUGAAGCAAAGAUCGCAUAUUCAGACAUUAUUUUAUGUUAUAAGUAGAACCAUAUUGAAGGAGAAAGAAUAUGCAAAGCAAUUCAAAAAAGGAGAUCAAAAAGGGCCAGAAAAGGUCUUCAACCUAGAAACAAGCAAGUUAGGAACAAGACAGAGUAACCAACCAGAAAAGCAAUACUAAGCAAACAGGUGGUCCCAUGACAAAAAUCCAAGGAAUUAGAUGUCCCUCAGCAUGGAUCUAAGUGAAAUACACCCCCCAAAAAGCAAGUCAGGUCAUCAAUCUGUCUACAAGUAUGCAAGUAUCCCCAAGAGCAUCUGAUUUCAUUUUAACCCAAGUGCUCAAUGAUCCUCUCUUUCAAUCAGAAAAUUAGGCAUUUUCUCAAAACUAAAAGCCAAAUGAAUAUUUGUAACAUUUUCUGCCACUGAAUAGCCUACUUAAUAUUCAAACAUUCCUAAUUUGUGUGCAAUUAUUUGUUUUUUCACAGGCGAGUUACUUUUUUGAAUACCAUAAAGAAAAAAUCGCUACAAUUGUAUUUCUCCUUCAAAAUUGUUAUUUAUUCCCGUCCAUAUGGAACUCAAAAGUAAAUUGAAGUAACACCCUCCUAGAUCAUGAAACAUACCGUUACCAAUUCACUAAACCCAUAGUUGUGAAAGGCGCGCCUAGGCUCCGGGUGGCGCAACGCCACCCUCCAACACCUUGCCUGAAGGCAGGCGAUGCCCUUCACGAAGGCGCCACUUAGGCGCGCAAGGCGCAACGCAGUCCACAGGUGCACCUAGAUCCCCUACCUCCUUCUUCUCCUUCUCUUCUUCUCCGGCGUCGGGUUGCAGAGGGCAAAGAGAAGCCCUAAUUUCUUUUUUUAUUUUUUGGAACCAAAACAACGCUGUUUUGGCCCUGUUUUCCCUUCCAGCCCCCUUUUCUGGUUGUUUUCAACCCGACAACUCUGCCAAAUUUUCCCUAGCCUUAACUGUGUAGUGGAGAGGUGAAGAAGAUGAAGAAGAGGAGGAAAAAUAGGAGAAAAAUAGAGGAAAAAUAUAUGUAAAUUACGGUGCGCCUCACUUCACUAAAGCCUGUGCCUUAGGUGCGCCUUGCACCUCAGGCUCCGGGACUACUUUGCGCCUUGAUGCGCCUUAAGCCUUUUAAAACUAUGACUAAACCCUCAAACAAAGAAGCCCAUUGAAAAAAAAGGAAGAUCUAUUUCUUCUCCAUGCUUACUUCUAGACAUAUCUAAACACCCUCUCAAUAAAAAAAACUAUUACAUUCCUCCUUGCUCAAAUCCCUAAGGCAAACGAUAAUGGUCCACUUAUAAGCUUUUCAAAUUCCAAAUCAUGCUUCACUAACCAGUGAACAACCAAAACCCAUUUUUAGAGAAAGGCAUAAGAAUAAAUAAACCUAGCAUAUACAAACAUGAAAGUGAAAACAAAAUCAUUCACCAAAACCUUAAAGAAAGAUAGGAAAAUAAAGCAAUCAAUUCAUUACUUGGAUGGGCUCCUCAGAUGGAUGAGGAAGGGCCAAAGGUUGGACCAACAAGGCUAACUGCAUUCCUGAUGUUGUCAAAAGAUCAGCAGUGCAUGGGAUCUGUUGAAGCAACAUAAGAAAUUGAUAAUAAUAUCAAUGGUCUCGAUCAUUUUAAGCAAACAGAUCACAGUAGUAUAUUCGAGCAUUUUAAACAGUUUAUUAUUACCUGAUUGAUGGUGCACCUCAUGUAUCGUGGACUGCAAUUCCCAGUAUCCCUAACAAUGUAAUCACUUGUGGCGGGCUUCACAAAAAUACAAGUAAUGAUGAAUCAGAAAGAGCAAAGAUAAACAACAAUAAUAAGUCCUAUAGCUGUCACUCUACAUCACAUCAGGGUAGGCACAAAUGCAACUAAAACCAGGAGUUAAACAACAUAUUAGAACAUAAAAAGAUCCAGAACAUAAAACCAGAUGUCACAUAUCUCUGAUCAAAUAAAAAAAUUUCCAGCAUUUUUAGCUCACUGGUUAAGUGGAAUACCGGAGGAGGGUUAGCCUGAUUGCCCUGACGAGUUUCAUGCAGAAUCACAGAGGUAUUUGGAAUGGGCCGAGGAAUUUGAUUAGGAUCAAUCUUUGAUGGACCUGCCAAAGGUGCUCCAGUUUGACUCAUAGCAGGUGGCAUAGCAGCCAUAGAUUGAUUUGGCGGUGGUGGUGGCAUUCCAAACAUUCUAGGUGGUUGCACAGAACCAGGAAUUGUUGGUGGUGGAGCCACCUAAACAAAAUCACAGAAUCACAAAAGCCAGACUCUCAGAGAAAUAUGAAACUGAAAGACAAUGCAUGUGAUGAGGACUCAUUCAACAAUUACCAGAAAUGGUACUCAUGUCCUCAAACAAGAAGAUGUUUAGUUCAACCAACAUUACAAAGCAAAUAUAAAUCAAAUAAUCAUAUGGGGGAAGCUAUUACCCCUGAAUGCCCAUGUGCUUGUUGAAAUGUAUUUUUUAGUCCCAUAAGAAUUUUCUCAAAUUUCAACUGUUAUUGGAAAUCAAACUCAGGUUUAAUAAGAAUCUGAGCUUUAUUUAUAAGAAGGCAAUUAUUCAAAAAAAUCCUCAAAAAAACAAAAAUAUGUGCAUGCGUGUAUAGGCAAACAAAGAAUAUAUUAAAUAGUCUGCAACAAAAAAAAGGGGCGCACCCUGCAUCUGCAGGUGGUGUACAAAAGGCACCAAUAAAAGAUUAUCUGCAGUGCUAAAAUUAAGAUUAUGCACUGUUUCAAUUUCUUAUCAAGCAUAUCCAAUCCAAAGGUUAAAAAACCCUUUUGUUUGUAUUUUGUGUCAUGGACUAAGAUGUUUAUAGAAGAUGGUCCUUUUACUCUAGUUAGCUUCUUUGAUUGGUUGGGCAUUCAUUGAGGGUGGGUAGUAUUGUUGUAGCCCUUCCUGUUUUCUAGCCCCUUUUUAUCGGUUGUGCCUCUUGGUGGUUGAUGUAUGUCUUGUAUACUUUGGGUUGCUCUUUUUAAUAUAUAUACUUCUUUAUCUAUAAAAUAAAAUAAAGUAAAGUAAAUAAACAUAUAUGCAAGCAAGAGAGAGACAUUUUGAAACAAGAGUGCUAGCAUUUAUUUAAAAUGUUGGUGUUUAAAUAAAUGCAAGCACUCUAGUUCCAAAAUGUCUCUCACUUGCUCACAUUGAUUUAGAAAUUAGCUGAAAAGCUCAAAAUAAAUUUAAAGAAAAAAAGUGGUUAUCCAAUAACUAAUUAGAGUUAGUUUUUGCCUCAUUUGCAUCCCAAAAUACAUGACACAUUAUAUUUUAAUUUUUACAAUCAAAGUAACAAUUAUUUCCUUUUUUUUCUUUUUUUUUAUAAGUAAACGCACAGAAAAUAUAUAUAUAUAUAUAUAUAUAAAGGGUACCUUAAGGCUGACCUGAAGCAUACAUGGGGUAUACAAGAGGCACCAAAAAGCAAGAACAAAAAAAGAGGGGAUACGAAAAAUAAUCAACCCUCAUCUAGAACCCAACCAAUCAAAAAAGUUGAUUAAAGGAAGAGGUCCUUCAUCUAUAAUAGACUUAGUCCAAAACCAAAAAUUACAUACAAAAUAAUUUUUCAUCCUAUGAAUCGAAAGCUCCUCAUUUUCAAAAGCAAUUCUAUUUAUUUCCUUCCAAACCGCACAAAAAAGACAUAAGGGGACUGUCAUCUACACCUUACUACGCUUCUUGCCCAUGUUGAUACCAUGUCAACCAAGAAGGGUAUCUUUAACCGAAUAAGGAAGGACCCACAUCACUCCAAAAAGAGCAAACAAUAACUCCCAUAAAACUCUUGCCUUGGUGCAAUGAAUUAGAAUAUGAUUUUUCAUAUAUUUAAUAUCAAUUAGGUUUCGAUGAUAAUUGGUCAGGCCUUGGGUUUGCUCCCCAAUGGUCACCAGUUCGAGUCCCCUCAGGGCCACUGGAGGUUUACCCGGUCGUUAACUUCAGGACCCCGUGGGAUUAGUCGAGGUGCGCGUAAGCUGGCCCGGACAUCCACGGUUAUCUCAAAAAAAAAAAAAAAAAAAAAAAAAAAAAAAAAAAAAAAAAAAAAAUGAUAAAGGCAAUAAAGGUCCCCCGUUCUCAUUCUAAAUCACUAUCCUCAUGUGGCUAUAGAAUCUAUCACCAAAUUAAAAUACUAUAUUGCUCGUGAUCAUUUUCAAUAACUUCGAUUAACCAACUGUUCUUUUUUGUUGAUUUAUCACUCUUAAGAUAUUGAGAAUGGAAAUUUAUAACACAAGAGUUGAUGAAUUUUUCUAAAAGAUUUUCCAAAUAUUUUGGGUCAGUAAAUUUUAUUUUUUUUUUUGUGUCCUUUGGUUGGCCUUGGCAUACAUUGUAUGCUUUCUGCAUCCUAGGUUGCAGCAUGUUUAUAAAAAUGAACUAUUUCGCCAUACAAUUCAAAGAAACAUAAAUUCACAAUCAUCCUUGUGAAAGAAAAAAACACAAAAAUUAAAAUCUCAAAGCUUACCUGCCGUGGUUGCAUUGGCCAUGUCUGCAGGCCAUAUGGAGAACCAGAAGGCGGUGGCACACCUUGAGGUGCAGCUGAAAAUGGCAUGGCUGUUGGGGCUGUUUGCACUGGAGGACCUGGUGGAACAUUGGGAGCUGUACUUCCGAGGAGAGUUCGCAUGGUUGGAGGCUGGGAAGGUGCCUGAGUUGACAUCAUUGUAGGGGGAUGCCCAACUGGUGUUUGCAUUGUAUUGUCAGCCGAGGGAUACCGAGGUCCACCUUGCAAUGCUGCUGAUGCAAACAUAGGUGGCCCAUUACUAGUGGGCCCACCAGGUGCACUUGAAGGGGGAAUUAUCGGACCUGUGGACAAAGGAGAAGAUGCAAACACACCAGGUCGGGCAGCCACCGGGGGAAUAACUGGGCCAGCUGAGAAACCAGAAGCUGGGAAUGCACUAGGAGGUGCGGCAGAAGAGGAAGCGAAUGCGCUGGGAGGUGCCCCAGAAGAGGUGGUAACUUGACCACCCAUAGGAGAGGGAAAGGACCCAGUAGACGGUCUCGACCCAAAGGGCAGAGCCUGACUGAUAGGAUAACCAGAGGGCCUUCCUGGAGCCAUAUUCGGAGGGAAUGUGGAUUGUGGAGGUCCAGAUGGAGCCAUUCCUGGCCUUGCCAGAACACCUGACUGUGGCCCUGGAGAUGGCCCGGGCCUAGAAACAGGCGCCCCUCUAGGAAAAGGGGCAGAGUGCUGAGGAGCUGAAUAAGGGGCUGAUGAAUGGGAAGGUGGGGAUUGAAUAUAAGAGGGAGGAGGUCUAGGGGUAGAAUUGGGCACAGAAGGUGGCCGAUUAAUUUGCAGGUUUUGCAUAUUUUCAGCUAACGAAUCAGGCGUUCUUUGAUAAUUAGGAUUGUAAUUAGGUGGUGGUGGCGGUGUAUUCGUGGCUCUAGGUGCCCCUGGGGGGACAGGAGCUGCCAUUGUUAAAUCAAAUCAAACCAACAGAUCCCUUCUUCAAUAAAUCACACUAAAUUCGCCGAAAAACUCAACAACAUGCGAUCCAAAUCUACAAAUCGAGAAACAAAACAAAUAAAAUUUCCAAUUAACCUAACAAAAAUCACAAUCAAUAAACAAACAAUAUAGAUACCAUCAAGAUUUCAUCCCCAUGUACAAUCAAAUCAAUAAACGAAUUUAAACAACAUCAGAAAAAAGAACCUAGAAUCGGACAGAUCAGAUCUGUCAAUCGAACAUCAAUCCAACAACAAUUAGGGUUUGGAUCGGGGCCGAUCGCGAUAAGGGUUUUGCGGAGGGAGAUCUCCGAAUAAAUUAGGGUUUUGCAGGAGAGGGGAAGAGUGCGGAAAUGAGAUCGGGGAAGAAAGAAGAAGAUGGCAGGGGGUUAUGUAGAUAUCUAUAUGUAUGUAUAUAAAAGUACAGAACGAAUGGUUUCUCCCUGCAUUUUCUAAGGAAUCAAACAGGGAAAAAAAAAAUACAUAACAGAAUAAAAUCCCAAUUAACGGAAAAUUACCUAAUAACGAUAGAAAAAAGAGAAAAUAUGAUUGCUAACUCUGGAAAUCUCUUUGCCGCAUGAGAGUUACGAUCAGACUUCAAAUAGGUCCAGAAAAACUCUCCCUUCUCUCUCCAGACAUUACUGACAUAACUCUGUCUUUCUCCGUUUCUCCUUUUUUCCAAAAAAAAAUAUUAUAUUUAUAUUUUAUUUAAUAAUUGUUACUCAAAAUUAUAAAACUAAUAUUAAAAAUAUUUUUUAAAAAUUUUUCAAAAUUCAAUUUUUUACCGUUCUGAAAAACAAUUAAUAUUAGAAAUAUUAUUUUUCAAAAAUUUUCAAAUUUUAAUUUAUUACCAUAGAGGAAAACAAAUAUAAACUAAUAAUAAUCAAUUUUUGAAAUUUUUAAUUAGAGCCUCAAAAUAUAAUUUACAUUUACCUAAUUAUCCACUCGAAUUAACCAUUUUAAUUAAUUUUAAAAAUAAAAAAUUUAGAAUUUGAUAAUCAUCCCUAAAUUAAAAAUUUAGAAAAUAACUGAUUAAUCCCAAUAAUUGAACACAUAUUUCAAUCACAAAUUUAUAAAUUCAAAGGUUUUCUAACAUAGUUUGAACAAUAAAGCAUAAUUAUAAUUAAAAAUCCUAAUUAUUACCCAUUACCAAUUUUUUAUUAAUUACAUAAUUAAUUAUUAUAAAAAAUUUAUUCUCAUAAAAAAAUUUGCUAUGAUAUGAAAACAUGUUAAAUUAAUUAAACAAUCCAUUUGAUAGUAAUUAUAAGAAAUACUUUUAGGUUGAAAAGUAUUGUUUUUUUAUUUAAAAAAAAAUAUAGCCCUAUUUGGUUUUCAUAAAAUUGGACAAAAAGAAAAAAAAUAUAAGAAAGUAAAAAAUAAUUUAAAUUAAUUAAUUAUUUUUAUUCCCUAUUUCAAAUUCACUUUACUUGUUUUGACUCAUCCAUAUCAAUAUUAAAUAAUUUGAAAAUCUAUAAAUUGUUGAUUAAUUUUAAUUAUAUUUGAUUUAAAAAAAAUCAUGGGACAACCAAAUAUAAUAAAAUCUUUUUUUUUUUAAUAUUUUUUAUUUUUUAAUAUUUUCUGAAAAUUUGACAAAAUUUAGGAAAAUUUUUAGAGUACGUUUGGCAAAUUAUAGGAAACACUCUUUAAUUUAAAAAAUGUUUUUAAAAAAUAAUUAGAUAUUUAACAAAAUUUAUAAAAUACUUUAAAAAAUAUGAAAAAUCACUUGAACUAUUAAAAAAUCACUUAUAAUAUUUUUUGAAGAAACAUCUGAUUGGUGGAUUUUCUAAAAAUACUUUUAAAGAAAAUACUUUAAAAAUAUUUCGAAUAAAAAUACUAUCAAUAUACUCUUCAACCAUUUGACAGUGAUUUUAGAAAGUAUUUUUAAUUUUUUUAAUAAUUAAAAUUUUGUAUCAUUAAAGUAUUAAAAAUGUUAGAAAUAUUUUUUAAAAUCACUAUCAAACACAUUUUUAAAAUUUUGAAAAAUCACAUGUUUUAUAAAGAAACAUUUGAUAAAUUAUUUUUCUAAAAAUAUUUUUAUAGAAAACAUUUCAAGUAAAAAUAUUAUUAAAUCCACUCAAAAAAUAUAUUUAAUAAUAAUUUUAAGAAGUGUGGUAAUGUUUCAAAUACUUAAAAAAUACAAAUUUUUAAUGUUAUAAAUUUUAGAAUUGUUUCCUAAAAUCACUGUACCAAACGGAUUCUAAAGGUGCCAGAUAAGCUGCACAUCAGAGUUCAAUGGAAGGCCGGCCACCACAUGCUCGCCAUUGGGCUUUACCACUGCUUCUGGGCUUGCUACUGGGUCUGCUGUGGGGAUCGCAUGUUUUCCUAGCCUAUACUAACCUUUUAAAGACUUAAACAAGUAGCCCCCAUUUGCUCCAAACCCAAACACUGAUAGAAAAAUAUUUUGGGCUAAGUUCACGGCCAGGCCCCAAGCCCAUUAAAUAACUUAAACACGCCUGAUCCAACUCUCCCGAUUCUUAGAAUAAGGCGGGGCAUGGUCCAGCCCUUGGUUGGGAAUUUUUUUCCAUCUUAUAUGCAAAUAUUGGAUUUUAUGUGGAACAACAUAACUGGGAGCAUUCCAAAGGAGAUAGGAAACAUUACAACUUUAGAACUCUUGCUCCUGAAUGGCAACAAGUUAACAGGUUCUUUACCAGAAGAGCUCGGUAAUCUUCCAAACUUGGACAGAAUACAGAUUGACCAGAACCAAAUAUCAGGAUCAAUUCCUAGAUCUUUUGCGAACUUGAAUAAAACAAAGCACUUUCACAUGAACAACAAUUCAAUUAGUGGGCAAAUUCCAUCCGAGCUCUCCAGAUUGCCAGAACUUGUUCACUUUCUGCUUGACAAUAACAACCUAUCAGGAUAUCUUCCACCAGAAUUCUCUGAAAUGCCAAAGUUACUUAUAGUUCAGCUCGACAACAACCACUUCAACGGGAGUAUUCCAGCUUCUUACAGCAACAUGUCUAAAUUGUUGAAGUUGAGCCUCAGAAACUGCAGCUUGCAAGGAGAAAUUCCCAACUUGAGCAAGAUACCAUAUCUUGGUUAUUUAGACCUCAGUUCGAACCAGCUUAAUGGAACCAUACCUCCUGGUAGAUUUUCUGAGAAUAUUACAACGAUAGAUCUUUCUAACAACAAUCUUACUGGAACAAUUCCUGCGAACUUUUCGGGUCUUCCUCAUCUACAAAAAUUGUCACUGGAAAACAAAAAGUAUUCUAAUUAGUCAAAUAAUUUAAUUUUUCUCACAUUAAUCAGAGUAUUAACAUCAACUUGAGAUAUUUCCAUGUUGGGCAUGAUUUAAUUGUAUCUUUGUCCACAAAUUAAAAAAAGAAGGCAUAUAAUAUGGACAUUUUGGACAGCCACAGAUUAGCUGUCCAUAUGUGACAAAUUUCCAGGUUCUAUACACCAUAACCUACUGCCCUUAAUUCUCUCUGGAUAUCCUAGAAAAAUGAAAAAUGCAUUUUCUGGCUCUCAAUUCUGUCUUGUCUUUACCUAAUAUGGGCAUAAGGUAUACAACAAAACAUCUUUCAAUUGAGAGUCUACUUUUGUACCUGUCCAUAAUUCUUGGGGUGUUUUGAACCCAAUGGCUGAUGUAGGGCACCUGUUGAUCAAGUAAACUAAGUCAUCACUGCUUUCCCCCGGGAAGUACUUGGCAAACCUGUAUUCAACAACAGAGAGCAGACUCUUUCUGAAAUUGGUCUAUUUAUAUAAUGAAAUAAUCCAUUUUAUUGCACCAAAACAGGUAAAACUUGAUUCUCCUUGAUUUUCUAAGCACACAAUGCUCACAAAACUCAAGUUUUUCAAUCCUUUCCCUACAAAAUAAACCCUGCCUCUGUAAUUGAUACAAUCCCCUUUCACUCACAUGCUACAACUUAGUUUUGUUAAGAUCAUUCUUCAUUACAGGAUCAACCUUACCAACUGUUGUUUCUCCUAUCAAUGAGUGCAAAUUCUUCUUUUUAUUCCAAAGUUCCAUUAAUUUUCAGCUUUAAAUGUACAACCACUUUGAUCAAGCAUUACAAGAGAGAUACAGUUUCCAUUUAGCUGGGGAACAUAGCUCACCUCUUGCAGAACUCUUUCAAAGACAUCAAACAUUCUGAUUCUAAUUGACCCCAAUACCAAUGACCUUGCAAGCUUUGUUAUUCCCAAGAAAGGAGGUUCCUCCAUCCCACCUUUUAGCUGAACACAGGGAAGAGCAACCAGAGUAAUCAAAUCUUUGCUUCAAUCAACCUGUGAAACCUCUAUGAGAUCAUACCCAUCAGAAGCCAUAGUUAACAACUGUCUGAGUUACACCUCAUAUAUAUAUAUAUAUAUGGGUUCAACAAUCCUCAGUAUGAGCUCCAAAACCACACACUACAUUUUUAAUACGAAAGUAAAUGCUACUUUAAGACCCUUUAAAUAAACUAAUGGUAAAUGACAAUCAUAGUGAGACUUAAAAUGCAUAUAGCAAAGCUCAAACUAAGAAAAAAAAGUGAGCCUGUUUUUCACAUAACCAUAGUCAGUCAAGCAAGGCCAUCUCUGAAUAGUGUGAAAUGAUGUAAAGUUCCAUAAAAUACAUAACAACCUUGACUCAGAGGACUUCCAAUGGUAUCUAUUACACACGGUACAUCAACUAGAUUAAUAAUAUCCCAAAAUACCUGAAAUUCUGGUUCUGUCUCCUCCAGACUUGGGAAAUUAAUGUGAUAAUUUGGAGAUCCAUUUGCACUAGGUUAAAAGCCAUGCAAAGGGACACUCUUGUGUCAGCCUGUUUAUUUGUUGUGCAAUAUCCAAAAUGAGUAUAUUUUGGUUUUGGUUUUCUCUAUGAUAUCCACGAGUGACCAAACAAAUUCCUCAGGGAGAAUAAGAGGCCCCAGCAAGUAGAGGAGACUUGGGAAGAGACAGCCAAUAAAACAAACCAUGAUAGCAAGCUCCAUUGAGUGUGAUAGAACAGUGAACAGUCCAGUAAGGAAUGCCAGUCCCAUUGAGGCAAGUGACAUCCAUAACAACUGCAAGGCAAUAAAGUGCAGAUUCCAUUUAUUUUUCUCAUCAUUCCAAGAUGAUGUGAAAAGAAUCACUGCAGCAGUCAUGGACGUAGUCAUAGCUACUGUAUCAGUGACAAUAAAAGCUUUGAAUGCUGCUUUCCUUGUUAGCACUGCCAUCCCUUGAUGUGGACCUUCACUUUGGAUGCCCCCUGGAAGGGUGAAUGCCGCUGUAAAUGUGACUGUUGCAACUAAUGUUGCCAUUACUAUGAGGGUGCCAGCCAUUUCUUUACGCCUCUUGUCCCGUAUUGAUUCUAUUAUAAGAUCUUCUUGUUCUAGGAUUCCCUCUAACUUUUUAGCUUGCUUUGCACUUGCCGCCUUCAGAAUUUCUAUGGUCCGUUGCUGCAACAGAGGAGGCCAUAAAUGAAAUCUCUUUUCUGGUAAGGUUAGUAGUGAAAUGUUACUACAGAAGAGUAUACUAAAAGUAGUUUGAAAACCUUUUAACACAUCAAACACAUUUCAUUUUUAUAGUAAACAACUAAAAGAUGUAAUUGUCUCAAACUGUCACUUGGAAGGGAUGACUUUUUCUAUAUUUUUAUUUAUUUGUCUUUUCUUUAAAAUAGAAAAGAAUUAUAUGUACCUUUUUUGCUUCUAUCUUUUCAUCACCGGCACAACCAGUCUUGUUUGGAGUUGCUUGGGCUUGAUUCCCAUCCGUGCCUUCAUUUCCUUCAUUACUUGGUGAAACAAGCUGCCAAAAGUUAGAGACAAUGUUCAUUUCUACUAUUUGAUUGCAAUGAGAAAUGGAAAGGCAUUUGUGAGACUAAUAGAAAGCAGAAUGCUUAUCCAUUUAUUCAUACCUGAAAUUUCCUAGCAAUAUCCAGGACUGUUUCACCUUUUUUAUUGAUUGCCGUAGUAUCCAUAUUUCCUGUUUGGACAAGAGUACUUACGAUGCUGCUGUGCAAUUUUGCUGCUGCAAGAUGCAAAGGGGUGUUUCCAUCCUCAUCGGUCUCAUUCAAUAGAUCAUUCACCAUGAACAUAUUUUGAAUAUAUCGAACAACUUUAAGAUGUCCAUUUUGGGCUGCUACAUGAAGGAUAUUUUGGUGGUGAUUGUUGAGUAAUUCGACCCAAUAGCGGCAGCGCUUGACAAACAAUUUCAAUACAUUCAGAUGCCCAUUUUCUGCAGCCAUAUGAGCCGGUGUUGCUAAAUUGUUAUCGAGGAAAGAUCCAUUGGAAGGUUUUAGUUGUAGUAAAUGAUCGACCAAGGCUAAGGCACCGGAGGCUGCAGCAUAGUGAAGAGGACUUCUUCCGCAGCUAUCUUUUUCAUUCACCAAUUCCGGCAUAUGUUGGAUUAUAAUUUUCAUAGUCUCUUAAAAGGUAAAAAGUUCAAUUAGGAGACAAAAGAAGGACACGUGUUAAAUAGAUAUAAAGAAAAAAAAUUAGAAAUUUCCUAGAUCACACAAAUUUCUACUUGGUGCCCUAACAAACAAUUGGGGAAUUGUUGUUGAGUUAUACAAAUGAAAACGCCGGAUGAAACCAACCAAGGGGAUCAAAGCCUAAAAAAGGCAAAAAAAAGAAAAAGAAAAAAGGAGAAAGAAUCUUACUCAAAUCAGCUCUCAGAAUGGCCCUAUGGAGAAUCGUCUGGCCGUCGGAACUUCUAUGGAGAAGAGAAUAGGGAUUUGAAUUUGGUAAGAUAGUUUUCACAAUUUCACUUGCCCUCACAUCAACAGCCAUAAAAAGUGGAGACUCCCCAGCAUUGUUGAGUGAAACAAGCAGAUCUGAGUCAUUUGCUUCCACCAAUACAAGCACAGUAGAAUGGUGACCAUUUCUAACAGCUUCAUGUAAUGGCGUGUUGCCUUCCAUGUUUCUCAUUCUCAGUACCUGUUGUAUCCCUCCAGCUUCGACAUCUGUGGACUGGGUCGCCCAAUCAAUAAGAAAUUUUACCACAUGAACAUGGCCAGAUCUAGCUGCAAUGUGAAGUGGGGUUUCAUGUUUAGAGUUCUCAGUGAGAAGCGAAGCUGGUGUACCCUCGCUGAGUAACGCUUCCACCAUUUUCUUGUUCCCUACUCUUGCAGCAAUAUGAAGGGCUGUGUUCUUCCUGUGACUUGAGUCAAAGCCGACAUGUAAGUUCAGGUUACUGAUCUCAUCGUGAUCUACGGCUACGGCUAUCGCCUGAUGCACGCGCUGGAUCAAGAUGUCGAAAACCACUGAAAACAAAGCAUCGGCCAUUGUCUCAGGGCUCUCUACCGAAUGCCCUCUCUCACAUACAUUGAGAAUGACCUAGAAAAACCAAGUCAUUGUUAAAUCUUGACUAAUAUUUUAAUAUUAACUAAUAUUUAUUUUUAUUAAUCUUAAAUAAGACAUUUCUUUAUUAAAUAUUAAAUCUUAGGUAAAAUAUUAUAGAUACACGAAAUAAUUAUAAAAUAUUUACUAUAAAAAAUUAGUGAUCUAUGUAGAGUCAUAGUUAUAACAUAUUGGUAAAUAAGAUAAAAAACUACUCAUAUUAAAAAUAAAGUACCUAUUUUGACUUAAUAUUUAAAAAUUAUUUUAAACUUACGUUGUGAUAUUUUAAGUUAUUUUAUUAAGUGGUGGUGGUGGCGGUGUAUUCGUGGCUCUAGGUGCCCCUGGGGGGACAGUAGCUGCCAUUGUUAAAUCAAAUCAAACCAACAGAUCCCUUCUUCAAUAAAUCACACUAAAUUCGCCGAAAAACUCAACAACAUGCGAUCCAAAUCUACAAAUCGAGAAACAAAACAAAUAAAAUUUCCAAUAAACCUAACAAAAAUCACAAUCAAUAAACAAACAAUAUAGAUACCAUCAAGAUUUCAUCCCCAUGUACAAUCAAAUCAAUAAACGAA
rnacentral:lncRNA from 1 species